GUGUGAUUGAUCCGACAAGUACUUUUAGUGGACGCUAUCAAAGAUGAACGGAAAGGUUCGAGCAAUAUUCUUUGCGCCUGAGGCGCAUCAAAAAGAAGGUUGAAGAUGACCUUGAUUUUUCUUUCAUUUCCGAAUUCGCUUGCGACAAGUCCUAGCAUUAGUAUGAGUUCGUUGACCGCGUAAGGGCAAUCCAUCUUGAUGACGAAUUCCACGAUAACAAGAAAGAGAAAUUAAUCGUUCGAUGUCUGCUCGUUCUCCCCUCUUCAAUUCCCAAUUCACAAUAUGAUCUUUUCCUAUCACUUGUUCAAUUUUUUCGAUCUGAUACUUAGUUAACUCUUUGAUCUUUAUGUUCCCACUGAUACCUAAUCGAUAACGAACCUGAAUGGCUUUUUUAGGUCCAAUUCCAUCAAUUUGAGUUGAGGCAAUUCUGACUUGUUUAUCGGCAACGGAUCUUGCUCCUGAAAUAUAUGACAUUCUUGAUCCUUCCUUUUACUAGUCUUUCUUCUCGGGCUGGAAUCAUAAAUGAGUUCUCUCCUCUUGAAUGAUCUUUUCUAUAGGUCGAACUACUGUGAGCGGUCUAAACUUCGACCCGGAUUGAUGAAGAUUAUGUUCUCGUACCCAAGCCCUGAAAAAAGAGAAAGAGUCUUGUGGAGGAGAAUUUCACACUGAUCUGACUAAAGAAGUGAGAAAGUGCUCCGCGAUGGGUCGCCUCGCGGUCUCAAAAUGGAAGUUUUUCGCCUUUAGGUCUUUUAGGGCCGCAAAAGAAAAGAAGAAACCCCGACGAAAGAUCGAAGUGGUCUCGUGCGCCAAAAGAAGGCUAUAAUGGAAGGCAUAAAAAAAAAUCUGACUUGGUCUGAGCUGCCUGCGGUUACAGAAUCGCCCGCGUCAAUAUUCUUUGAACCUUGACUCUCUCUCUAGAAAAAAAAAAAGCUUUCUCUGGUAAGCCAUUCAGACUCCCAGAAAGAGAAAGCCUAUGGCCCAGGUUUUGAUUAAAGAACCUUCGACUUGCUUGCAUGUCUUAAGCAUAUAGCUAGCCUUCCUUCUGAGCCAGGAUCUUUCUAUUUGAGUAUGAUUGGGCCUGCUAGACUGCCACGGAGCGGUUGCCGGGCGUACUACUUCACUGAAGAUUGAUUCUCUCUCCUGAACUAUGUAGUACGUUAUAUAUUCUUUAAGGCAAAGAAUGUGAUAAUGAAAGAAACUACAUAAAAAACCGAGAUUCGUCGACAUUUGCGUCUCAGCUUACUCCUGUCUCAGACCACGACUCUGUCCUUGAGCUUGUGGGUCCUAUAAAAGACAAUCUCCCGAUGCUCGACAGAGAGGUAUGUACCCUGGAUAGAUCGUCUCGGGUUGACUUUCAAACCAAGCAGGAAAAAGCCUCAUAGUUUACAAGGUUAGACACAGACAGCAAGCCAAGGCACCUCGCUCGAUCCCACGGAGCGGGAUCAGGUUAGUAUGGAUAGUCCUUCGCAAAUUCUUUGCGCGGGUAAGAUCAAGAUCCUUUUUUCAGAGAAAAAGAAAGGAGCAAAGAAUUAUCGAAGCGAAGGCUAGGUUAAUAUGGAUAGUCCUUCGCAAAUUCUUUGCGCGGGUCCAGAUGCGUCACAGUCCGAAGGCGCAAUUCAAUAUGCGUUGAGAGGCGCAAUUCAAUAUGCGUGAAGAGAGGCUCAAUGUAAUAUGAGUUGCGGAUUUGAGAGAAAGAUUAGACUGACUCCCUACUCAAUCCUUUCUAGCUUAGGCUGCCACUGACUCCGCGAGCGAUGAAAGAAUGAGUGGAUUCAUCCACAAGGUGCUUUAGGUGGAUCUGAUCCAUAGUUCGGAUUCGGAAAGGCUAUCUUGAACCGCUGAGGUUCCCGGCUUGUGCCCCUAGCUAGUAGGUAGGUUCAAGCACUUUUGGCAUCAGAUCUCUUUUCAUUGACUUUUGGGGGCUUUGAAAACGAGUGAAAGCGGGUGGGAUGGAGCUCUUUGUAUUUGAGAUAGUUUCAUCCUCGUCUGCUGUCUCUGCUCUCUGAAUUUCUGAUUCCGCGGCACCAGUCAACACAGUCCUAUUUUUAGGGGAAGAGUUGCAGAAGGAAAGGGGCAGCUAAUUUCAUUGAUUCUCUCUCUUAUUAGACAAGGCAAUUUCUUGAACUUCAGACAGCUAGAGAGAAAGCCGAUCCACUAUCGGGUGACGGAGCCAUUGGGCCAAUCGAUAGGGGAAAAGGAGCUCAGCACCAUGGGGCAAGUCCUAUCCUAUUCCCUUUGUUCCACUCCUCUCCGUCUCCAAAUUUGCACUCCUUUACAGUGGUGGAAUUCUGAAAGAAAUGCAACGAGGAAUUUCCUGUGAACGCAUUCCCUCUCGUUUUCCUUGUUCCCUAUUGGCGUAGAAGGAUGCCAUUAUUCAAUGACCUCAUUAGGUCAAAUGCGCACCCUUGUUCAUUGAGGCGGUUUUGGGUAUAGGUGAGAUCUCUCAACGGGGAUGUAUUUUCUAUCAAUAUCUUAGAAUAUAGAAAGUUGCGAUUUACCGGCAUUCUUCAAAACUCAAAGAAAGAGAAGGUGGCGAAGCCGAACUUAUGAAAAGUAUGAAAGAUCAGAUAAGAAAUAAAGCACUGACAUUAAGUAAGAUCAACCACUAUUUAUCGCACUGAAAGGGAUUGAAUAUCAGAUGACUGAAUUAUUACUUUCAUCUUUCUAAUAUCUUUUUCUUACUUGAGCUGUUUCGCGCCUCCGGCUUCUUAUUGCAUUAUCAGGAGUCUGAUCUUCGGUUUCCUUAGACUGACGGUUCUUUCGCAUUCCUCUUAUUUGCCCUAGGGGGCUUCUAGAAGGAUUCUUCCGACAGGCUUUGCCGUAGGUAGGCUUUGACUCUUCCUUAUCCUUAAUGGGCGUAGGCUUUUUGCCUUGGCCGACGGAUCGAGCUUUCCGAUCUGGAAUAAGCGACUUUUCCUGCAACUUCAACCUCGGAAAAGAAAGCGGACGGUGGUCGAUCCCAUGAUAAGAAGACAAGCUAGAAAAACUUCCACAAGAAAAGCGACUGAAGAAAGAAGAUUUUGCCCAUUAUCGAUAGUCGGACCUCUUUUAUCCAUUUCAUUGUUGCGGGACCUCUCUAUUCCAUUUCAUUUGUUGCGGUAGGCUUUCUUUCCAAACCUACUAAAUAAAGCCUAUCCUUUUCUUUCUUAAGUUUCCUUUAAGCCCUUUACAAGGUAAGGACUGAAAACUCAAAGAAAGAAGGUUCUUCUCCAAGGCAUGAGUCAAAGAAAAUGCUUUCUCUAUGUAUCUAAUGCAAGACCCGUCGAUAAGCUAAGGCUAGGAGACCAUGAGGACAAGUCCAUUCUCUUUUUCUUUCGCCUUCGCCCUCCCGUGCACCCGCCGGGGCCGAUCCCUAUACUAAGAUAGUCGGGCCAGAGGUCGCGCAGCAGCUUCCCGUGGAGCCUCCUGCGGAUCAUCAGCCCGGUUGGGCUCAACCUCAGAGAAAGGUUGAGUGAAGAGGAAUCCAUAUAAUAAGGCCUUUCGCCGGCUAAUCUCUUCCAAGGAGUAUCGGGGGGUGGAAGGGCAAAUUCACCUUUUUGAGGCUCGGGCCGAAGAGCUAAAGCAAAAGGCCGACGAGCUCCUUCAUCCUCCUUCCAUUCCAGUGGAUGAAGAGUCAGAUGUGGGGCUGGCAAUCAAUCUUCUCUUGGAGAAGAAGAGAGGCGACCGCCCCGUGGGAUUCCUCUCCAGGGCGAUUCAGGCGAUUGAGAAUGGCAAAAGCCGCUUCGCUCCUUCCCUCCAAAUCCUCGAUACGCUCUCUGGCAGCGCGAAUGCGCCCUUCUUUCCUGGCAGGAUCCAGUCUUCUAAGACUCCUCAAAAAGAGGUUUAGCACUCUACGGCCUCAUCUCAUUUUUCAGUUGCCCCAUUUCUCUUUCGGCAGCAAUUGCAGAAAGCCUCUUUGCAGCCUGCUAGUACUCAAUUUCUUUGAUUUUCAUUUGAUGAGUAGCCUCCAUCUUCUUGAUGUUGAGAUCCGUGAAUAGUACUUCUUCUUUCAUCAGACUGGGACUACUUCCCCUUCCUCUUUCAGUUAUCUUUCUACCAGAGUUGUAGAGGAAUCUCUCCAUGAAGUAGGAAUUGGAUGGCUGGCACAAUUCUGACUAGUUCGUAGCACUACUUUUCUGCAGUGAAAAUACUCUUCUGCCUAUUUAGUGAAAAAACUGGCAGGCUCUGGCUACCUUGCGGAGCAAAGAAAACCCAAAUCACACUGCCUCUAUGAAGAAAGAAAGUAGACCCCUCCUCUAUUACGAAAAUAUGAUUCAUAGUCCUUCGCUAUUUUAGUUCCAUUAAGAAAAAUCAGUCAGAAGGCGCAAAGAAUAUUGCCUUUAUUUAGGAUCAAUGAAAUUUGAUGAGAGGAGGGCUCAGGUUAAUAUGGAUAGUCCGGAGGACCUCCUUCAGCAUAAUGUCGUUGGGGAAGUUCUUUCCGUCCUCUCUCUUCUUUCAUUUUCAUAUAUAUAUGAAAUCAAGCAGGAACAUGAUAAGUGGAAUUAAGAGGUCCGACUAUCCACUAGCGCUCCAAACUGUCUAAUGAAAGAGUGAACUCGACAAAGUAACCUCGACAGGACUAGGCGACCCCUUAGCCCUUUCCCUGGAUCGGCUGAUAAGUCAUCUCAUCCAAAAAGACUGGGUUUCCAUCACCCUACGCUAGUCAAUAUUCUUUGAACCUCUUUGGAGUUGUCUUUCUUCUUUCUCUUAGCAUUCCUUGCCAAAAACAAAGGCUCUAGCUGACGUAGGAGGAGGAGUUUCCAACCUUGCCGUAGGUUUCUCUUAGCAUUCCUUUUAGUAGGUUGUAAUAGUCAAGUAAAUCAUCAAAACCUUCGCACCUCUCUUUCUAAAAGAUAAAAAAGGUCUGAGCCCCUUUCGUCUUUUCCUCUCUUCUUUCCCCAUUUACAGGGGAUUGACUAACCCCACGGAUAUCUUGUCUUAGCUCAGCCUCUUAUAGCGAGCAAGCAAAGCCUACUUCUACUUUCUUGGUGGGCCCGCUAUUUGAUCAGCGGAUCAUAAAUGAGCCCAGCUUCGCUAAACUCGCACGCACCGACUGGCGGUCUUCACGAAAGAUUGUUGGCAUGCCUCCCAUAAGCAUAAGAAGAAAGAAGGCUGAUAAGGAAACCUAUGAGACCGCCUUGUUCUGCCCAUAGCGGUGAAGCAGAAACUAAAGGCCCUAUACAGAUCAUGAUAAUCUAUAGUAGAAUCAUACUCUCAAUGUGCUAUGCCAUAGAAGUGUGGGAAACUACUUCCUUAUCUACCCUAGACUAGCUUAUGCUAUCGGAUAGGUCUUAUUAGGACGACUUUCCCAUUCUUUCCUGCCUUAAGGUGAAAUAAGGUCUCUCUUGGGUAUUCAAGGUCUAAUGUGCUCCCCGACUAGGCUCUGCUUUUGAGGGUGGGCUUGUAGUCUCUCUUACUCCUAUAGGUCAGAAAGAGAUAUAUUCAAUUUUUCGUAUAUGACUGACGAUUUACCAUCAACCUGCUUAUAUAUUAAUAUUAAGUGAGCAAAUUCUUCUCAUAUUACAUUGAUCCUCCCCCUAAGUAAAUUCUUCUUCUGUAAUAUAUUCUCCUCUGAUAUAGAAUAUCUAUCUUUCCUUUCAUAAAUAGGAAGGAAAGGAUUUCUCCUCAAAUCAAGUCAGUCUUCCGAAAGAAGGGAUCAAGAAGUGGUGGUUCAGUCACUUCGGUAGGGGAUUCGCGAUCCCAUCUCUAUGGUCUUGCUCUUGAUGGUACCUCAUCAUGGGGGUGCUGCCCAAGCGGAGCUAACUACAGGUCCGAAUAUACUGCGAUCACCCAGACCUUUCUAAUACUGAAAUCCUGUAUACGAAAUUUCUUCAGUUGUCGACGCCGCAAUAUGCGCCUUCUAAUGGAUAGUCCUACUUCGGUUAAUUACGGAUAGUCCUACUUCGGUUAAUUACGGAUGGUCCUACUUCCAUAUGGAUAGUCCUACGGAUAAGAAUCCUGCGGACUCCGGACUACUUCCCUCCAUAUGGAUGGUCCUACUUCGGUUAAUUACGGAUGGUCCUACGGAUAAAUCCUCCGGACUACUUCCAUAUGGAUAGUCCUCCGGAUAAAUCCUGCGGACUCCGGACUCCGGACUACGGAUAAAUCCUGCGGACUGCGGACUCCGGACUGCGGACUGCGGACGUAGGACUCCGGACCUAGACACAAAGAAAGAAAGUGAAUAUGGAAAAAAGAAAGAAUGUCAUCGUAAUUCAACUCCGUUAGGAGUUAUUCCACUAAAAAAAAGAGUCAUGAUAGGUAGUCCGUCCGAAGGACUAUUCAAUCCAUUAGUUUUCGCUUGCACUCCUUUCUUCUUUUCCGCAAUAUUCUUUGCUCCUAACGUCUGAAACUGCUUUAUAAAGGAAUUUGGAAAAGCUCGUUUUGGAAUAACUCCUACCUAUUCCUUGCUCCUCCUCCGGGAUCAGGACGGAUAUUAUUGGUAAGACUCCUUCUACGCGGUCUCGCAACUCAUAUUGCAUUGAGCCUCACUACUAAUGGAUAAAGAAGUCCUUCGGACUCCGGACGGGGGGGAUUUCCGCUUGAUUUUACCGUAGCCAUGAAAGCAAAGGUGGGGUUUGACUCUCUCUCAAGCCCUAUUUCUGGAUGGAAGUUGGAACCUCCCCACUUUCUUAGUUCAAAUGCACAAUUUCCCUAUCUCUUCUUAUGGCUCUUUUGGGCCUAGGCGAGAUAGAGUUGUAGAUAGGUUUGAAUUGCUCUAUUGCGAGAAAGAGAAAAGGAGUGAGAGGGGUGUCGCAAGCUCCCUGAUUGAGUAGGCAGAAAGGGGUCAGAGCUAGCUGCUGGGCCAGAUUGACCUUCAGUAGCUGCUAACAAAGGACCGGAUUGACCGCCUCAAUGAAGAAGGCGCAAAGAAUAUUGCGGUGAGUAGGGUAUUCAAUAUGCGAGACCGGAGAAAGAGGUUAUGAAAUAUACUACCCGAAAGCUAUAACUUGAAGAGAGAAAGAGUUGACUCGUCCGAAGGCUCAAAGAAUUUGACCUAUGAUCAAGCGAAGAACUGAUAACCUGCCGAAACUAAGAAGUUGAGCGGCUUUCCAGUCGAGCUAAAUCUCUUCUUUCUUCUCGUUCAAAAGAAACCUACUAAAAAAGAAAUACGAAAGCCUACCUGCCAAAUUCUGAAAAAUAGUCCAUUUCUCACAUUCAUUCACAUUCAGUCAAAAGAAGAGACUUGGUCCGGCAAGAGGGAUCUCCGGCUUAGGCUCGAGGCUCCUCUUCUUCUUCCUGUGGAUUAGUGGAAGGAUGUCUCAUCCGCUUGAGAGGGUAUGCAUUCCUUACGCGCGAAUUGGAUGAUUUCUCUUUAUCGAUUGAUUCUGAUUCUUUCUACCCAGCCGGCGGGAGUCAUCAUUUUUGCGUACUCCGGAAGACCUAGGUUUUUAAUGAUUUACUUGAGUCAAAGACGUGCAGAUGAGGCAUCCGAGACAGAAAGAAGAAGAAGGACUGAAACCGCCACUGGGUCGAGCAUUCGGUCUGAAAGAUCUUCUUUAUCUCGAUCACAGUCAACUUUUGAAUAGUUGAGUAAAUCAUCAAAAUGGGGUUCGAUCCUUUUGACUUCGUCAUAGAGCUCUGCCCUUUUGAUCUUUUAGAAAGAGUAUUCCAAGUAAGACCAAAAUGCAAUGAAUUUAAGCGGAGGCCUUGUUCAAAGAAUAUUGAAAGGGAUAUUGUGCGAGACUGAAAGGAGAGGUGCAAAGAAUAUUGCGAGGUCAUCUGAAACCCUUUUUUUUGAUGCGCCUCAGGCGCAAAGAAUAUUGCGAGAUUCAUACUAUUAAAUAAAUAGGUUGAGGCGCUUCGGUUAAUUACAGAUAGUCCUACUUCUGUUAAUUACGGAUAGUCCUCCGGAUAAAUCCUGCGGACGUAGGACCCUGGACCUUUCUUUCUUUAAUGGAUAGUCCUACGGACUCCGGCGCAAUGAAAUAUGCGAGGUCCAUAUUAACCGAAGAUUUAGCCUUCCUUCGGAACCUGCUCAAGAAAUAAGGGAAGGAAGCAAGGAGUCAAGUUAAGAAUCUCUUCUCUUUCAUAUUCACUCGAACUCCUAAGGCACCUUUCCUAAGCCAACUACCCUUUUUCUACUUUUUCCGACACUGAAUUCUUCUUAGCCUGAACCUAGGCCUUUCCUUUUGGGGAAUCGAGCAAUCUUCUGAUCUCUUCUCUUUGUUUCGGGAUCGGGUACAGGCCAUGAGCAGUCCCAAUCUGCCUUCCUCUCGUAGGACCAUAAGAAAAGCCCACUCCGCGGUAAGGCUUGAGGUCUAACCCACGGAUGAAAUAUUCUUUGAACCUAUCUCCCCGGCUGUAGAUUGAGGUUAUCACCUUAUUGAGUGGAUGGAGAUCGGCGGCUAAUAUGAGUUCAUUCUAUUUAGAAUAGGAUAGAAUAUGCUGAAAGAACCGCUACGUGGGCGACUUUCUCAACAGCAAAAUGCCACUUCCUCUGCCCGUAGGUUGUUGAGCCUUUCUUCUUGCACCUUGAAUAAAGAGCUUUUUUCGGGAGAAAUCCCAGUUGAGGGGAACAUAGGCUCCGAUCAGGCUCAAGAGAAGGAAGGGCACCUCCCCCUGGCUAACUUACCCUCUACAAUCAGGAAAGACUCCACUCCUUCCCUUCGUCUUCUCAGUCAAGCAGUUCCACUCCUAAUAGGUCAAGCUGCUUCCAACUUCUUCUUCAACGGGAAACUUCAAGGCAACUGAGACGGAUUCUACAGGGGUGGGGUUCCUCUUUAGUAGAAAAAAGCCCUUUCCGGGAUCCCGCCUCAAGAGAGAAUUCCAAGUCUUACCUAUUUUCCCCUAAAGACUCACAGGUUUGGACUCGUCCAAACAAUGGCCUGGCCGAGAAAGCAAUGUCCGCGACUGAUAUCUUCUUAUCUUAUCAACCUAUUCGCCGACAAAGCCACUGAAAAUUCUUCAUUCUUGACUGACUAUAGGCUAAGUAGCGAAUGCUGUAAUCAAGGGCCUGCUUUAAUGGUUGCUUCAUUGGUUCAGGGGAAUUGGCUUGAAUCUGAAGCCGGACAUAGCGAUUGGCGAACCACAACUCGUGCUUAAAGCUUUGAAUUUGAGUGGGAAAGAGGGGGUUCAUGCUGUGAUAGCCAAGCGGGGAGAGAUGGAAAGAGGACUAAUGCCUUGGCUUAAUUUAGCUUCUUGGUUUUCCGGUCAUUUUCUGAACAUAAAGAGAUUUUUCUUAUUGUAUAUUGUCUUUUUACCUUUGACCGAUCUCCAUUGCUUACAGGAAAGGGAGGAAGAGAGAGAGGAGCUGGUACCAAAUCAAUAGGUCAUUCAAUAUACGAGAGUUUAGUGUCAGAAAUCGGCUUGAUUAUUUCUCAAAAUACCGCUACUGUUGAAAAAGAAAGAAUGAAAGAGAAAUGCAUUAUAAAGAACGAAGAUCCCAACUAGCACUCAUGAACUCAUGAACUUCUAUAACUCACGAUAAAAGAUGAGAUCUAAGACUGUAAGUUGAAUGAAUAGGAUCGGUAGCUGACUGUAAGUUGAAUGAAUAGGAUCGGUAGCUAGACGGGUCCCCUGACAAGGAGGGAAGAACUCCCAGAUCGGUAUACGACUUCUCAGGAGAUAAAGGGGGAUCGAAGCUAGCCUCAAAGACCCAGAUCUUUCCGCGCCAGGAUCAGUAGAGGCUGGAAGGGAAGUUUCAGUUGCUCUUUCCCAACCAGAUAGAAAGGCAUAAGGCCUCAGCCCAAGCCGAUUGUAGCAGUUCUUUCAUCUCUUUCGGAAUGAAAAAGAAAUGAAUCUCGGAUGUGUAGUAUAAGAAGCUUGCGAGAGUAGGCUCCAUAAGACAGGGAUAUUGUAAGGUUCCCACUCUUUUUGUUUUCUUGAAUCUCGUUAAUGAACUCACUCUAUUCUAAAUAGAAGAAAGCAUCCCCAUAGAUAGGAUGAAAUCAUCAUAAUCCCCUAAGCCCACUGGGAGGAAGGCGAGUGUCCAGGGAACAAUCUUGCAUAAAGAGGCAUCCGUCUCGGCGGUCCAUAGAAGCAUGAGAAGGAAUUCAUAUCACCUUCUUUGUUGGUGCGCAGCCACUCGACUUAGACGUUAGCGAUUGGAUCCCCCACUCCUAGGUUGCUUUUUGCUUGAUUUAAAGACUCCAAAAUCAGAGCUAUCCCUAAUUAAUGUUCAGCUUAGAGCCUCCGUCCUCCUACGCAGCUUCUCAAAUUCUUUGACCCGACUCCCCAUUCGUUUUUCAACUCUUUUUCUGGAAUGAAUUCCAGUCUUCUUUCAGGGGCGGGAUAUGGAUGGAAGAGAGAGGGAAGAAAGAGUCCGGUUUCAGAGGCUUGAUCCACUUUCUAGGAUCAUGAAGAAAUCCCUAAAUGCUUCUUUAUACUCUCGCCCAGGUAGGGAGAACUCUUAGAUAUAAGACGUUUUAGAGAGUUUUGAUUCAAAUCCAUCUCCACCUAUGUUGUGCCCUUCCUCCCAAAGCAUUCCGGCAUCUCUUAUUCCAGGUCUCACCCUCUUCAGCAAAGGAGUGGAGAAAGACAUGGAAUUGGAAUUGAUAGGGAACCGUAGCCAAGUGGCUAAGGCAUAAGUCUGCAAAACUUCUAUUCGUCGGUUCGAAUCCGACCGGUUCCUACAGCUUAGCCCCAUUCCACCCUGACAUGGUGUCUGUCUCGAACGGGGGCCUCCGCUUGCUCCUUCGUACCUUUGGCUUAGGCCGCUUUCCCUUCCUGACAGUAUUUCUUUUCUGAUUAGCACUCUCCUUUUCAUGAGAAUUUGACUGCUAUCCUUGCUUCAGCCUUCGUCUUUCGGCUUUAGGACUCACGGGUAUCUCUCAAAAAAAAGGUAUUCCGUGAUCUUUCCGUCUUUAGUUUAGGUUCAUUAUGGCAGUUCUUAGUUUCGUCUCUUUAUCAGUGAAUUCGCUUUCUUAAUUGCAUAUAUUCAUAAAAGGGUAGUCCUUCCCCCAGGUGCGCCUAAAGUCUGAUGAUGAUCCCUUUCAAAGCCGGUGAAACCAUCAGGCUCGACUAAGAAAUCAAUGCCUCCGACUCCUUCUAGUAACCAUCCCCGAAAUCCAGGGAGGUCUUCUUUCAGACAUGGCGGGCUCCACUCAAAUUCUUUGAGCCUUCUCUGCUACCAAAUCAUAGAUCUUCCAGAGAAGACCAAAGCGAAUGAGCUCACUCGAUUCGCGUCUGAUCCUCCAUUCUUUCUCAUAGACUGAUGCUGAAAAUCAAAAAAAGAUAGGUUCCUUCAUUAUAAUGCAUUUCUUACCAAUGGACGUACCGAAGCCAUCAUCCAGUUCCUGAGCAAAGACCACUCAAGGAAGUCCUCUCUUGGAAAGCAAAUAAUGAGAGCUACUUGACUUCUUUCAGGAAGGAGAUAAUUCAACCGCUCAGAUAAGGAAGAGCGAAAGCUCACUCUACCAAGCCAGAAUGAUAAUGUCUCGUCAUUGCCGGGGGCUUGGUGUACAUAGCAAGAACCCGCUCAAAGUGAGGAGAUCUUGUAUGACUGAGUUUGGCAAGGACCCUAUAACCCCCACCACCAAGGCAUCCUUAAUCUUGCCUUUUCAUGGAUAUGGAUAUUUUUGACAUAAAAUAAGAAGACCAUAUGGAUGAUGGUAAGCAAGCAAAGAAGGAGCGGACAUGGUAUCAAAAUCCAUGCGUCCACCCGCGCUUAGCAAACUCAAAUCUUUCAGUCGAUUAAAGAACUGAACGAAGGUGCACAUUUUCACUCCUAAUUGAGAAAAGAAACUUCAGCAACUUGGGUAUCAGCGAUGACAACAUCAUCACCGAGCACAUUGAUUGGGACACCACAUCAACUAAAGUGGCUUUUGAACGAGACCUAUCGGCCCACGGAGCGGGGCAGUUGCUACGGCCAUCGAUAGUCGGACACCGCGGAGUGGGCCUCUUUCAUCCUCUUUCAUUCUGCUCUUUCAAAGAGAUAUAAGGGGUAUGAGCUACUCGAUCUCGAGAAAAUGGCUUUGGAUCUCUCUCUACAUCUGGAAUAUCUGUCAGAGGAUAUGGAACUCAAUAUCGAUCUGAAACGUCGAAGCUUACACUGACUCAAAGGGAGACUGCUUCUAGCCAACAUCGGCUAUGGAUCACGCCCAUCAUCAUAAGGGCAUCUCGGUAUGGGGUUGGAUGGAUCAUCGGCCCUGGUGAUGGCUCCCCAGUAAAGGGAAGAGGAAGGGAUGCUAUUGGUGCUAUCGGUACAGCUCUCCUUAUCAUCGGCAGAUAUGCUUUUCUAUUUGCGGGGGUCUUUCUUGCUCUUGGUAUCGGCUUCUUUCUGGAUAUGCUUCUGCUUUUACUGAUGCUUAUGGAUGGAUUACUUGCUGGAUCUCACCCGCUCAAAGAAGAUUGAAUUUCGAAAGCCAAAGCUACUUAUGAGCCCUCCCUUGUCAUUGAAGGCGGAGGCUGAAUUCAUUGAGUUGCGGCUAUUCUAAAAGAAACUUAUCCACAAAAAGGAAAGUGAAAGCCAAAGCAGAUCCACAGCAAGGGUUUCAACUGAAAUUUCUCAUUCAAUCGCCGACCGCUCCGUCUUAUCUGAUUUUCGCCGACAAAAGUCGCAUAUUGAAUUGCGCCUCCGGAAUUCUGAUUAUUAAGGAGAUUCAUUCAUGAAAGGCAUAUUUCAUUGCGUGAGAAGCCGCGCUGCGAGAGCUACUAAAGCGAGAGGUGAGAUGGAAUUGAGUAGACUAAGAAGGGGCGAAGCGAACAGGAGUGCAAGUUGGAAGGAGAGGUUCCAUAAGACAGGGAUAUUGUGGGCGAGACCAAGGAGGGAGAGAGAUGAGGUCUACGGAUUAUCCUACAUAAAUUAGUUCUUGGAAAGACUACGAGGCGCAUCAGCGGAAACUCAGACCUAAAUCACUAACUAAAUAAGGGGUCAUAUCACGAACGGGAAGCGAAGGCAUACACUGACCAUAGCCGGAGAGGAAAGGAGCUCAGCAGCUUGACCCGCCUUUCAGUUUCUUGGGUGUGAAAGGAUAGGUUAUCGGCCUAUUACCUAUAGGAGAAAUGCUGGCAUUGAUAGACUUAGAGGUGAAAUUCUCCGUUUCGGAAAGAGCUAACUCAUCUUCUUCUUUUUAAUAGGCAGAAAGGCGAGAUGGAAAAUUGGCUGAACAUGAUAGAAGCAAGGCGCAAAAACAAGGGUGCAGAUGACUAUCCAUUAGAGAAUUUGACUUUGGAGGAGUAUGAAAUCUGGGUUAAUAUGGAUAGUCCUUCGGACGGGAUAUUCUUGAGAGUCAUGAACUCUAUUAAAAAGGACUGCCGAUUGAAAAGACUAUUAUCAAUCUUCAAAUCUCCGCGGCUGAAUUCAUAUUCCUCGACUUCGUAGAAGGAGAUAGAAAUCAAUGAACGAGUACAAUGAACAAGGGCUCUUCUUCUUAAACUACUUUCAGUCGGAGAGAGAAGAAAUAAGACGUAGUAGGAGUUGAUGAUUGUACCGCGUAGUGGGUCACUUUAUUCAGUAGAAAGAGAAUAGUCAUUUUGAAGGUUUUGACAUAGUGAAAAAUCAGUCAAAAAAGAUCUUUUAUCGUUAGCUAUCGAAAUCUUCUUUGAGCCCGUAGUUAGGAGUAUUAAGACCGGAGGACCAUCAAAGAAAGGUCCAGGGUCCGGAGUCCGCAGGAUUCUUAUCCGGAGUCCGGAGGAUUUAUCCGUAGGACCAUCCGUAAUUAACCGAAGUAGUCCUACGUCCGGAGGAUUCUUAUCCGUAGGACUAUCCAUAUGGAAGUAGGACCAUCCGUAAUUAACCGAAGCAGUCCGCAGGGCCAAAGAAAGGUCCAGGUGAUUUAUCCGUAGGACCAUCCAUAUGGGCCAAAGAAAGGUCCAGGUGAUUUAUCCGUAGGACCAUCCGUAAUUAACAGAAGUAGUCCUACGUCCGGAGGAUUCUUAUCCGUAGGACUAUCCAUAUGGAAGUAGGACCAUCCGUAAUUAACCGAAGUAGGACCAUCCAUAUGGAAGGAAGUAGGACUAUCCAUCCAUAUUAACCUUUGGUCCAGGCGCAGGCGCAAAGAAAGAAGCUCAUUAACUCGAAUUCAAGAAUCAUUAUGAUUGAAUCACCCAUAACCUGGAGGGAAAUCCAGAAUAGACCUCUCAGUAUCCGGACCAUAAACUCAAACUAGAAGUCUUCAUUGAUUUUCCCUGUCCUAGGAGUUCUUCUUUCAUUGCGUUUUCCCGGCUUUUUUGCUUCUAAAUGUGACUUUUGUUAAUCUUGAUAUUUAACGAUAAUUGUCUAAUUUUGACGGAUUUUUCAUGAUUUCUUGCUACUUUAUAGGCCCAAAACCUAGCAUUUUCUUGUAUUUCCCUCCGCGAAGGACUAGUCUGAAAUCUAGCAGAUUAAUCUGAAAUCUAGCAGAUUCAUAAUUCUUCUUGAAUUCGAGUUAAUGAGCCCGUAGUUAGGAGUAUUAAGACCGGUCCUACGUCCAUUUAUCCUCCGGACUAUCCGUAAUUAACCGAAGGAGGACUUUCCGUAAUUAACCGAACUUUGCGCCUGCGGGAUAAAAAAGAGAAAAUUCUUUGCUCCUCAUCUGGACCCGUCCUCCGGACUUGUUUAUCCAUUAAAUAGCGGGAGGCUCCAUAAGACAGGGAUAUUGUAGGCGGUCGAUGAGUUCUAUAAAGAUAGGUUCAAAAAUCAAGCCUCAAAUUCGCAAUAUUCUUUGCACCGCUCCGUGGGUUCCAGAAAUUCAAUGGAUCUAAUGGACACUAAUCUGGAGCUUGAUUUCUCUUGGACUUUCUCACGCAAUAUGCUUUGCGCCGCUCCGUGGGCUUACCUUUCAGUCGAGCCCUCCUACGGUCUCAUUGAUAAGGACAUCUUUGCAAAUGAAGAGCGGGAAUUACCUUUUCUCUUCGGGUUAGCUAAGAGUUGCCGGAGGCUUGAAGUCGGAUACUUUACUUCAAGGUUAAAGAAAUCUUCAACAUCUGCAAAUUUAGCGUUAGCGUUCUGAGCUAGCCAAGAAGUUUCUCUAUAAUAUAGAGGAAAAAUUAUGCAAUCUAACGACACUAAGAACCUAGAGUCACCGCGGAGUGGGAAGGUUCAUUCUUUCUGUCCCAAUCGGGAAGAGAGAAAAGAAAGGUAAUUCUUCCCCCUAUUUAUUUAUGGAUGUCAUUGACUCUUAGGCGGAGGACUAUGAAACCUAUUACUUUGAGAAGCGAGGCUGAAAGCCUCUGAUGUACACAAAUUGAAUAAGAAAAGCACCAGGACGGAGAGUUACAUCAUCAUAUUGCUCUCCUUACCUUAAUUAGAAUGCUUCAAGACAUAAUGCGAGAACCCGAAUAAGAGAAGCCUGAGAUUCAAAAUCAAGCUCCACUGUCUCACUUUGAAUAAAGGUUGGACCACUCUCUGUGGCUAUGUUACAAAGCAAGGAGUUCGCCCGUGGUAACUGGGGAAAGUUCUCGCUAAAUGACAUAUUAAGGGAAGCCGAAGCUUCCAGAAACGCCGGUCAUGAGCACGGCGCUCAAGCAGGAGCGUAUGAAGCGGAUCUUCAAAAAGAUAGAUAGUUACGACAAUUUCCUACAUCUAAGGAAAGAUCCGGAGAUCGCGGAGCUCCUCUUAUCCAAAUACAGCACCGUGAGGAUGGGAAGACUCACAGCGCAUGAAGAUGCAGGAGAUAUCAGCUAUGGAGCUACGAGUAGCCUAUCUCUCAGGGAAAGGGCGGCCCCAAGAAUAGACCGCAGAGCUCUUGCAAGAAAAGUACCUAAUGCGUCAUUGGAUAGCCACAAACCUUGUCUUCCAGAGGCCUAUAAAGACAAAGCAGCUCUUUGUCUAUGGUCCGCCAAGUACACAGAAAACCCUACGGAGCAGCGCGGAGGCUAUAUUCAUGCGAUACUCACCCUACUGGGCAGGAGUGCAGGCUAGAUGGAAAGUAUGAGAGAACUUUUCUCAAAAAGGCUAAUGUACCCUAAGAUGGGAAACCGGAUUCCAGGAAGCUUCACCAAUGAGGACACGCCCUGGUCAAAACGCGUAAUGCCCUGAAACUUCUAUUCCAAAUAGAAGGAUCAAUGCGGAAUAUUGCGGGUUUGCGUGAGAGGAUCGUGGCAACCUUGUACGGUUGCAUGUGCGGCCGCCUAUGGGCAGAUCGUGGGAAAUCCACGACUGAAAUACUAUCAACGGAGAACAAGCUGUAGAAAUACCUGUAAACGACCCCUCCUCGGAGCUUCUAAUGGAUAAAGACUCAUCCAGAGCUUGAUUUUAGCUGGCGCUACAAUAUCCCUGUCUUAUUUUUCGUGGAAUAAGACUCAAGAGGAGCGGUCCUCUGGACCUUUUUUAUCCGUCCGAAGUCCUCGCAAUAUUCUUUGCGCCUGUCUGUCCUUCGCAUAUUUCAUUGCGCCUCAGUCCUAUUCAACCCAUGGAAUUGAAAGUCUAAUCUUUCUUUGGGUCCUCCGUUUUAGAGUCCUACGGAUAAAUCCUCCGGACCUGUCUUAUGGCACCUCUCUUAGUCGAGCUGCUUCGCACCUGGAAGUCUCGUCAAUAUUCUUUUCACCUUCGGUUCAAUUAUUUUGGAGGGCUCAAAGAAUUUGAGACGAGUGCAAGCAGUUUCAUUCUCAGUUUCAGUACUCUAAGCAAGGUAAUUCUCAGAGUCAUCUGUCUAUCCCGUUAAGGGGCAGGUGUUCAGCCGGAGACAAGAAAGGGCUCGACUUCCUUUGGGGAUUAUCCCUUGAAUCAGUGGGAGUUGGUCUUGCAGUAGCAGUUCUUGUUCCAGUUUCAUAGGUUGAAUGAUCUCUUUCGUAAGGCAAAAAGGCUGAUUUCUCUAUUUGGAAUAUCUGUCCCAUUAUUUCAAAGUAAAGGAAAGCCUUUAGAUGCGCUCAAGCGCCCAACUGGGCUCGAAAGCUGCGAAAAAAGUCUCGCUGUGAAAUCGGUGUGGUGAGGUAUUGGAAGUGUUCAGCGAAUCGAGAGAAAGACAAGAAAGUGAAAGGCAGAGCUUCCGCAAAACGAGGUAGGUAGCUUUCGCUAAUGAGAGAUGGCUUUGGGGAUUAGGUCUCCAAAUUCAUGGAAUUUCUUUUCUCUUUCUAUAUAUGAGAAGCAAAGAUGCACAGAGCAACCCGACCGAAGGCGCUGAAGGAGGGCAAGUGGUCCACUCUCUCAUCUACAACAGAAGAUCAACCCCUUGUCCAAACUGAAGAUAAAGUUCAUAUGGACCUGAUCUCAAAUCCCCUAAUGGAUAGUCCUUCGGACCUGUCUUAUGGCACCGCGGAGUGGUCCGGAGGCGCAAUUCAAUAUGCGACUUUGAACCGGAGGUUCAAUGCCCACGGAGCGGGAGAGGUCUCGUCUUUUCCGCUGACUCCCACUUUUUCUUUCUGUAUUUGCUUAGUCUUUGCUUUGUUCUUUUCCCCUUUCCACUUGUACUUCCACUUUCUUCCUUUUUGAUAUCGCUUUUCUUCUUUCAGUUGCCUUCCUUCCUUUCUCCCCUCUGAUUUUAUGGAUGCCCCUCCCUUUAGACUUGCAGUAAAGCUGAACAAGUUGACUCAGCUUGCGCUUGGCUUCACUGCCUUGACUAUCAGAGAGAGGAAUUGCUAAAUAGACAGAGAGUAGUACCAUAGGCUUUCUUCUUUUUAGCUAGUGAAAGAGGGCAAUAUUCUUUGCGCCUUCCAUCUGCCUGCUUUCUUUGACUGCAACCAUGCUUGCCAGAGUUCUUGCUUCCCUUUUUCGGCCCCAGCCACAUACCGGUUAGCGAGGAGAUUGGUCUAAGAUGGCUAGUUGCUUGUACUUUAAUCGAGAAAAAGUUGGAGAUAUGAGAGAAAUUCUUUUCUUUCUUUGGGAUAAAUUGCCAAUUCCAUGAAAGCAUUUGCCUUAAUGAAAAAAGGGGAUCCUAUUGACCUAGGAUAAUAAGCUCAUGAGCUUAGUCUUACUUCACCAGAAAGGAAAGAAGACUUCCAUCUCCAAGUUGAACUCAGACCUAGCUCCCUUCUUUAUAUCGCCUCUGCUGGUCAUUCUGCUUUGAAACUAUGGGAAAUGAAUUAGAUAAAUCAGCCUUUCUUUCUAUAAAGAGAUAUAUAGCUCAUUCCCGAUCUCACUACUUCGCAAAUUCUUUGCUCCUUCUCUUUGUUCAAGAAGGGCUACGUGGGCGACUGCUGAAACUGGGUCCCGCACCCCUAUUUAUUUAUGGAUGUCAUUGAGCGGAGGACCUCGAUCAUUCUUUGAGGACGGAAGCUUGAUAAAGUCAGAAGGCGCAAAGAAUAUUGCCCUUUUUGAAAGGCACCAAAAACAAAGGCGCAAAGAAUAUUGCGUUAGAAAUCAGUGGAAUUAAUCAGUCCUCCGCCUAAGAGCGCAAACCAAAGGCAAAGGACGCGUCGGACUCCCGGACCUCUUUAUAUCCACAGGAAAAGCUUGAUAAAGUCAGAAGGCGCAAAGACGCAAUAUUCUUUGUUUUUGGCUAGGCUUUCUUUCUUCUUGUCUUUUAUUGCUCCUAACCCCGAAAGAGGUGGGGUUCCUUCUAACCUCUCCUCUUCCCCACGUAGCGGUCGAGACUAUUCUACUCUUUCCGGAUAGAUUCUGUUCUUUGUCUUUCUCAAAUUCUUUGAGCAUCGACCGCCUACAAGAUCCAGUCAAUUAAUGUAGUGGGCUGACUUUGCGCCUCAGUCGCAGCUCCUUUCAGUUCUCCGCAAUAUUCCCCAUAUUAAGCUACGGAGGCCAGACAGGUCCGAAGGACUAUCCAUAUUAACCCGUCUGUCAUCUGGUCCCUUUGAUUUUCUUCUUUGCUCCUAACUACUAAUGGAAAGGACCCACGGAGCGGUGCAAAGAAUAUUGCGAAGGACAGACAGGUCCGAAGGACUAUCCAUAUUAACAUUAACCCGUCUGUCCUUCGGUCUUAAUACUCCUAACUACGGGGGAUAUUCUUGUAAUUAAUUGACUGGAUCUUGUUUGCGUGAGGUGCAAAGAAUAUUGCGAUGUAGGCUCGACAGGGAUAUUCUUGGAUUUCAGACUCGCGUAGGCGCAGUUGCGCAAAGAAUAUUGCGAAAACGUAGGUGCAAAGAUCUAUGGCCCAAUUAUAAGGGGUCCAGAUGACUAUCCAUUAGGGAAUGUGAGAAGCUCCUUAACAGGAGUGCGGAGUCUGAAAUCCCGGGUUAAUAUGGAUAGUCCUUCGGACGUCCGAAGGACUCUAAAAAGGAGCCUAACGGAGGCUCAAAGAAUAUUGAGGUUAGGAGCAUUGAAUUUAUAGAGAAUAGUCCGGAGGACCUCCUUCAGCAUAAUCUAUGAAUGAUCGGUUUCAUAUUGCGGAAAAGAAGAAAGGCUCUUUUCAUAUUGAGAAAUCCCGUCCUUCGGACAGACGGGUUAAUAUGGAUAGUCCUUCGGACCUGUCUGUCCUUCGGACUGGAGCCAGAAAAAAAAGGGCAAUAUUCUUUGCGCCUUCUGACUGCUAACCUCUGCGGUCAGUCCUUCGGACCAGGUGCGCGAAGCGAAGCGACUGGAAGGAUAGAAGCAGCUCGACUAAGAAGGAGAGGCGCCAUAAGACAGGUCCGGAGUCCGCAGUCCGCAGGAUUUAUCCGUAGUCCUACGUCCGGAGUCCGCAGGGCCAAAGAAAGGUCCAGGGUCCGGAGUCCGCAGGAUUCUUAUCCGGAGUCCGGAGGAUUUAUCCGUAGGACCAUCCGUAAUUAACCGAAGUAGGACUAUCCAUAUGGAAGUAGGACCAUCCGUAAUUAACAGAAGUAGGACUCUAAAACGGAGGACCCAAAGAAAGAUUAGAUUUUAGGCGAAGGACUGAUUAAUUCCACUAAUAUUUCGGAGGACUUGUUAAUGGAACUGAUUGUAGUAGGCGUCGGACAACUCAUUCAUUCUAUUUAGACCUCAAUGAAGAAUAUUGAUGAUCUCUCGCUAUCGGAUAUCAAGAGUAUUCCAAAGAUUACUAUCCUGUUCAAGUCUCGUUUUUGACUAAUGGGAUGCCUUUUUUCAUUUUCAUCAGCCAAGGUCAAGACCUGCUAGUCCUACCACGUUAAGGGAGAGCACCCAACUUGCUUGUUGACACGUGAGGGAAAAUAGGAGUCAGAGGUGGGAGGAUUUACCACGUUAGCCCUAUGGUAGUGAUGGUUGGUCUUUUAGAUAUUAUGUCCUUUGAGUGCCUUUUGCGCGCUUAGCCUCGGAAAGAAAGAGGUGCUUCUACAGCGCUUUGGUGCUAAAACCUAAAACUAGGCUCAAUUCGGAAACUGAAACGAAGAAAUUCCCACGCAAUAUUCUUUGCCUGAAAUUUGAAGGAGUCUUAAGACCUCGCAUAUUUCAUUGCGCCUUCGCAUAUUUCAUUGCGCCUCAGUCCUAUCCAUUAGGAAUUAAACUGCGCUAGUAGGAUAGAUACGGCAAGAUCUUUCACUUUCUUCCUUGACCUUCCGGCACUGGGCGGGCUUGUAGACUAUUUCAUUCCAAAUCGUCGCCCCUUUCCUUAUCUACCGUGUGCCUAUUUGCUUUCUUUCAUAGGCAAAUUUCUUUGUCGGUGGCAACAUCGGCAUGCGUUAUAUAAGACUUUAAGCGCACCUUCACUACAAGACUGCCAGAACCGUCACGGGCUUCUUCUGGAACGAGGCGCAAAGAAUAUAUAGAAUAAAGGAGAGGAGUGGAACUGCUCGACUGUAAGGAGAGGAGUGGAACUGCUCGACUGUAAGGAGAGGAGUCCUUUUUCCGUAGGUUGAUGCUUUGUAUCGCACGCUUCUUCUAUUUUUCUAUAUAGUGUGAACACCUUGCCCCCUAUUCAUUAGUUCCAAGAAAGGGGCCGUUCACGUCGCCGGUUUUUGAUCUAGUUGCAAUAAAAUAAGUUCGCUUUUUUUCGUCGAGAUUGGGUUGGUGUGAAGCCUCAGUACAAGAUCGAAAAGAAUGCAUAGCAUUCCAAGUGAGAUGCCCAAGAUAAAAGGAACGAGGGGAAGAAUCAAUGACGGAGGACGCUCAUUCUAAUGGACCUCGCAUAUUUCAUUGCGCCUUCGCAAUAUUCUUUGCACCGCUCCGUGGGUCCUAUCCAUUAGACUGCACCUCGCAAUAUUCUUUGCGCCUGGAAGUCUAGUCAAUAUUCUUUUCACCUCCGGACUAUCCAUAUUAACCCACUAAAAAAGCGAAGGACUGCUAACCUCUGCGGUCAGUCCUUCGGACCAGGUGAGUCAGAAACAUUAACUUUAGGCAGAUCCCCCCUUAUUCUUAAAUAGUGGGACUUCUCGCAAUAUUCUUUGCGCCUCUCAACAAUAUCCCUGUCUUAUGGCACCUUCUGCUUCAUGAUUUUGGAUAGCCAAUUAUAUAGAAUCUUUGACCCUUUGUUCAUUGCCUUGAUAGGCUUGGAGUUGAUUCCACUUUUGUCUCUUCUUUAGGCUUUCUCAAUAUUCUUUUCACCUUGCCUCGUCCGGAGGACUAUCCAUAUUAACCUGUCUAGCCUUCGGACUGGUCCGGAGGCGCAAAGAAUAUUGCCCAUUAGAACUUUUUUCAAUCAAAAAGCGUGAGGAUCAUUCUCAACUCUCGAUGUUAGAAGGUGCAAAAUCAAUGGGUGCCGGAGCUGCUACAAUUGCUUCAGCGGGAGCUGCUGUCGGUAUUGGAAACGUCUUCAGUUCUUUGAUCCAUUCCGUGGCGCGAAAUCCAUCAUUGGCUAAACAAUCAUUUGGUUAUGCCAUUUUGGGCUUUGCUCUAACCGAAGCUAUUGCAUUGUUUGCUCUAAUGAUGGCCUUUUUGAUCUCAUUCGUAUUCCGAUCUCAAAGGUUUCAGUCUCAUAAAGCAAGACCUCCGAAAUAUUAGUGGAAUCUUUGAAUAGUCCUUCGCCUCAUUCUAAUGGACCAACAACAGUUCUUCCCGCUGAUUUUCAUUGCGCCUGGACCUUUGUUUUUGGAAUAAUUGACCCCCUCCGUUAGGCGCAAAGAAUAUUGCGAGAGUCCUGAUCCUUUAUAAAGCAGUUUCAGACGUUAGGAGCAAAGAAUAUUGCGAGACCGGUCCGUCCUCCGGACUCAAGGAUUCCGCUAAAGUUUAGGGAAUUUAGGAGCUAUUCCAAAACGAGCUGUUAAAUUCCCCCACGGAGCGGUAUCUAAUGUUUCAGACGUUAGGCGCAAAGAAUAUUGCGAGACCGCGUAGAAGGAGUCUUAUUCCAAUAAUAUCCGUAAUGAUCCUUUCUUUAUAAAGCCGUUUUUUUCGGAGUAUUAGGAACCGGCUUAAAUAGGCGACUCAUGAUUCCACUAAAUAGUUAGGCUCCAUAAGACAGGUCCGAAGGCGUCACAGGUUAAUAUGGAUAGGACUGAGGUCUUAAGACUCCUAACUACUAAUGGAAAGGACUGAGGACGUCCGAAGGACUCUAAAGAGGACGGGGGUGAGGCGCAAAGAAUUUGCGAUGCGUUCCAAAAAAAAGCUGUGAAAUCCCCACGGUGCGGUGCAAAUCUUCUUAUAGAUUAUGCUGAAGGAGGAUCAAUGAAAUUUGAUGAGUCAUGAUCCCGAAAAAGACUGCCACUCCGCGGUUCAAUUCAAUAUUCAAGGCGGAGGUUCAAAGUCGCAUAUUGAAUUGCGCCUCCUUCUAAUGGAUAGUCCUACGGAUAAAUCCUCCGGACUACUUCGGUUAAUUACGGAUGGUCCUACUUCUGUUAAUUACGGAUGGUCCUACGGAUAAAUCCUCCGGACUACUUCCCUCCAUAUGGAUGGUCCUACGGAUAAAUCACCUGGACCUUUCUUUGGCCCUGCGGACUCCGGACUGUUAAGGCUCAAAGAAGAUUUCGAAAUCCAUAUAUAUAAAAAAGGCUAGGCGAAAGGCGCGAAGCGAAGCGCAUGAAAUUCAGAGGUGCAAAGAAGAAAGAAAGAAGAGAAUGGCGAUCAGAAGAUUGAGAAAUCCAUAUUUGUGGAUAAGAGAGGUCCUUCGGACUGGUAGAUUUCAGACGAUAGAGGUGCAAAGAAGAAAGAAGAGAGUUGCGUGAGAAAGUCAAAUAAUAGCUAUUAAUACUCCUACAAUAUCCCUGUCUUAUGGAGCCUUAGUCGUAUUCCAAAAAAUAGCCGUUUUCAAAGUCAAUGACAUCGGUUUUUAGUCAGCUAAAGAUAUUCUUUCUUCCCGCUCCGUGGGCUUAACGGUUCAAUGAACAAGGGGUGUAGUUCCUCCGCAAUAUUCUUUGCGCCUUCGCCUCGCAAUAUUCUUUGCUCCUAACUACGGGGGUACGAUCUAACUAAAAGGAUUCCACAUUCAAGAGGACCGGACACCUGAGUCGAGUAAUGGGAAGCGGGCUAGUCCCCGAAAAUGCUCGUUCCUGUUGGGGCUUACAAUGAACCUUGUGACUCUAACUCUUCUUCAAAAAAAGCCUCUCUAUAUUAGCGGAUCAGUCUUUACUUAUCUCAAGCAAUGUCCAUCCCAUGCCUUUCUUGGUUGGACCAACCCAACCGGCGAUUUCCGACAAGUCUUUCUUCAUUUUUCUUGAAAGAAGCGGAACUACAGGGAUGAAAUGAAAAGUGUUUCUGACUCUUACGCCCAACAGCCCACUUGAGCAAUUUGCCAUUCUCCCAUUGAUUCCUAUGCAUAUAGGAAACUAUUAUUUCUCAUUCACAAAUCCAUCUUUGUUUAUGCUGCUAACUCUCAGUUUGGUCCUACUUCUGCUUCAUUUUGUUACUAAAAACGGAGGAGGAAACUCAGUACCAAAUGCUUGGCAAUCCUUGGUAGAGCUUAUUUAUGAUUUCGUCCCGAACCUGGUAAACGAACAAAUAGGUGGUCUUUCCGGAAAUGUGAAACAAAAGUUUUUCCCUCGCAUCUUGGUCACUUUGACUUUUUCGUUAUUUCGUAAUCCCCAGGGUAUGAUACCUUAUAGCUUCACAGUUACAAGUCAUUUUCUCAUUACUUUGGGUCUCUCAUUUUCUCUUUUUAUUGGUAUUACUAUAGUGGGAUUUCAAAGAAAUGGGCUUCAUUUUUUCAGUUUUUUAUUACCCGCAGGAGUCCCACUGCCAUUAGCACCUUUUUUAGUACUCCUUGAGCUAAUCCCUCAUUGUUUUCGCGCAUUAAGCUCAGGAAUACGUUUAUUUGCUAAUAUGAUGGCCGGUCAUAGUUCAGUAAAGAUUUUAAGUGGGUCCGCUUGGACUAUGCUAUGUAUGAAUAAUAUUCUCUAUUUCAUAGGAGAUCCUGGUCCUUUAUUUAUAGUUCUUGCAUUAACCGGUUUGGAAUUAGGUGUAGCUAUAUCACAAGCUCAUGUUUCUACGAUCUCAAUCUGUAUUUACUUGAAUGAUGCUACAAAUCUCCAUCAAAAUGGUUAUUUAUUUAUAAUUGAACAAAAGCGAAAAUCAAGCUCCAGAUCCUAGGCUAAAAUCAAGGCGGUCGAUCGAGUGGAAGAGUGGAAAUAAGGCAUGUCCGGAUAAGUCAAUGUUCUCAAAUUCAGGCUCAAGAUGAGAUUCUUUCUUUUCUGGCCUUAGGCGCAAAGAAUAUUGCGAUGCGAUUGCCUUCUAUAUAUUCUUUGCACCUUCGGACCGGCAAAAAGAAAGGUCAAGAUGACAUUCUUGAUUUAGGAGCGAAGCAUGAAAAGAAGAGAUAAAUAAAGUGUUAAGGAGCGCAAUCAAUGAACAAAGGAGGUCGGAUCGUCCUUUAAGUUUCAUGGCUUUCCUGAGAAGGAGCUUCAAGCUCUCACUCAGAUACAUCGGGUCAGACAUAAGAAGGGGAGGGCCAGUAUGAUCUCUUUCCGUUGAGGAUCAAAGUCGCAUAUUUCAUUGCGCCUCCUUCGGUUAAUUACGGAUGGUCCUACUUCCAUAUGGAUAGUCCUACGGAUAAGAAUCCUCCGGACUCCGGACUACUUCGGUUAAUUACGGAUGGUCCUACGGAUAAAUCACCUGGACCUUUCUUUGGCCCAUAUGGAUGGUCCUACGGAUAAAUCACCUGGACCUUUCUUUGGCCCUGCGGACUGCGGACUCCGGACUACGGAUAAAUCCUGCUUCUAAUGGAUAGUCCUACUUCCAUAUGGAUAGUCCUACGGAUAAGAAUCCUCCGGACGUAGGACCCUGGACCUUUCUUUGGCACGUAGGACGGGAGAGUUGUCUUUCUUCUUUCUCUCUGAACCCCACUACGCGGUUUCCUCUUCUUCUUUUUAGUAGGCUUCAUUAAAUUAAGCUACGUAGGACUCUUUAUCAAUGAUUUAUCGUCUUCUCUCUCUUUUCUCAGAGUAGGUUCUAGGGUUGGGUUCUGGACUUCACUAAAUAUUCCACUUUUCUUAUCAAGAACUCCUUCUUUCUACUGGGAAAUUGUGCAUUUGAACUAAUCAAUGGCGGAUGGGGGUUCAUUCGAGGGUCGGCUGAUCUUGAAUGAUAAGAAAAGGAGUAGAAGAGCUUUACCAGAGCCUUAGCGAGAGGUUGCUAAAGCGCUGGGUGAGGGACAAUUGGUGAGCCGUAUGAUGGGCAGAGUCAUAGGUUUCGAGGGCUAAGAGAGAGAGAAUGAGAGAAGAAAGAUACCGGAAGCCGCCACUUGAUAGGCUCCUUCUUCUUUCUUUUCUUUCUUCUUCGGUCUGAAUAUCCCUUAUGCUUGCAUUGGCCAAAGAAAUCUGCAUUCUUUGACUUUUAGAUCUCAAUCCUAGUUUAUCCCAUUCUUUCUCCUUUAAAGCGCCAAUUUGCGACCCACGGAGCGCUUUUCAAUAUUCUUUCUCAGGCAAUAUCAAUAUUCAGGUUUCUCGCAAUAUUCUCAAAUCAAAUUUCGAGCAAUAUGGGCCUUCUACGCGGUCGAAGACUUCUUCCUCCCAGUUCUAGCGGUCCCUCUCCCUACGGUCGAGCUAUUUCAUCCCUCUCCCUACGGUCGAGCUAUUUCAUCCCUCUCCCUACGGUCGAGCUAUUUCAUCCCUCUCCCUCUUCCUACCCCCUGUUUGGCCGGCCUUUCUUACUUCAACUUCUGGAGCUUUCUCUCUUUUAUAAGGCGAAAGACUGACCUCGAUCGAUAUUCCACAUCUCCUCUCGCGGGGAUUCUGGGUCCAGCAUCUCAUGGUCUACAUGAUGAUCUUGGAAAGAUUUGGACACCAAGGCAGAACCAUUGAAUACGGAGAAGGGUAGAUCACCCCGCCGAUUCUCUUCUGACUUUCUUAUCUUUUUGUGAUGCUGCCCGCUUUAUUCUCAUCCUGAGUGAUAGCACAUAUAAUUCCCCUAUUUCAGUCUGACUCCAUAAUCCGACCCCUUGUUCAUUGAGGCGGUCAAUCCGGCCGGCCUUCAAGGCGCCGUCCUACGCAGGUGCUGCGAGAACCUUUACCAAGUCUGACUCGGUCGGGUUAAGAAUACCUGACCCUUUCCUAUUCAAGAGCGGACUCUUACUCAAGAUCGGAAUUCUUGGUCUUACCCUUGCUCAGAACCCUAUUUAUAGUCUUUCAAGAAGUAGGUGCUACACCCCCAUUCCAGUGAACCCCAUCAGUCCGGGAUCGCUAUCGGUCUCUAACCUAUUUUUCUCAGUAUCCACUCUUCACCCUUAAUCAGAGAUAUGGUAAAGCCUGCUAGUCUUCCUCAUUCCUCUUCGGAAACUCUUAUUCCGGGGUGGACGAAUACCUUUGGCCUCGCUACCCUAUUCGGAAAGAGAGAAUGAGAAGGAGGCGUAAACUCUCUCAUUCUAAUAGUACUCUUCCCCUGCUUCUUUAUCUCCUGAUCCCCUUUCUUUGGCCCUAUUCAGGUCGAAAGCUUUCGCUUUCAGUGUCUGACGAAGGAUCUCAUACUUUCCCCUAGCAAUAUGCUAAGCUCUGACUCCCCUUUAAUGAGGCGUAGAUCCCGCUCCGUGGGCAACUUUCUCAGCAGCCAGGGCUACGGCUCGGUCUCAUUCAAAGAUCUUGGUACUGAACCCACUGCCUCGAUGCGGGACCCCUUCUCUGGCAUGAAUCCACGGCAGGUUGAAGGAAGUCGGGAUGGCGCCAGGCCUCUGAAGAAUUCUUUACCUACACAAAAGAGAGAAUUCGGCCAGUUCAGGCGUCUACCUCAUCGCGAGAAGACUUCCUUGACGGAUUCCUAUUUGCUUCUUCCGAUCCGUGGAGACGGAUAACCUGGGGAGCCUACUCAGCCUAUGAAAGACUGAUCCCUAUCCGAGGACAUAGUAGUCGAGCGUGAACCCUCUUAACCCACUACGCGGGAAAUCUGGCCCGGCUGGUCGACUUUCUUCGAACCUAGGUCUGGGAGUCUCGCCUUUUCUUUAUUUCGCAACCUUAUAUUACCUUUCCUUCAAGUACUCAUUUGAUUAGGAGUCGGAUGGGCUGAUUAUUGCGGACUCCCGCUCCGUGGGAAUUCGUAUUUCAAUUAGGUUCUGGAAUUUGAAGGUCAACUCCUUCGCUAUCACUUUUCUGGUCUAGCCUUAUCAUAAAGAGGGUCGUCUCGCAGCCUAAUCCGAAACCUCAUUCCUGGAGGCCUUUCGCUUACCGCUCCGUGGGAGGGUAAGGCACUACUACUAUUUGAGAAUUAGCCUUUUGAAGAGCUGAAACUCUAAACCUAUGGAAUCAGACUCCUUGGCUGGGUGAAGCAGCGGACUGAGGAUCUAAUUGCAGGAUAGCCGCCAGUGGGUGGGGUUGGUUGGCUUCUAGAAAUUAGCCGAAUAGGAGGGCUCUCAUUUAUGAUUAUGAUCCUUAUCUUUCAACUGAAGAAAGAAUAUCCUCCAAGGCCCAUUCUUAGUCUCGCUCAAUCUCCCACUCGGACUCUACAAAGCCUAAGAGUUCGGCGCGGACGAUUGUCUUGGAUGAAAGAAUAGCUCUCACUCUCAUUCAAGAUCGAAAAGAAGAGAAUUACGGUAUUUCUGAAAGUCACUCCUCAAAUUCUUUGAGCCUCGUAUUCGCUCAGCAAAGAGCUACUGCAUUCCCUCUCGUUCAUUCUCUCGCUACUGAAUUCCUCAACGGGUAUCGAUUUCAUUCCGAAACCUUUCUUCUUCUUCUCGUGAAAGAUCCUAAUUCUUAGUUCAUGCUGGAGCUAACCUCUCCUGAGAAUGAGAACUCUGAUGAAUGAAAUACCAUGACGAAUCUACUCUACUCGGGACAUAGGCUUCUGACCCGCUCCGUGGGCUCCCCUCCCUCUUUUGGUCUCGACAAGGUUCCCCGCCAGACUAUGACUCUUGAUCUUUCUUCCGAAAGAGAGGAAAUAAUCUUUUCAUCGAAAUCACUCCCCAACUCGGCCAACUAAGCAGCAAGAACUCGGUUUCUGGGUAGAAAGAAGUCAAAGAAGAGUGAAAAGAGCUAUGAUGGUCGCGCUUUCUCUUGUUGUUAUGAAGAGAGUUCUUUCUUUCUCAAUCGGUAAUAAUACCCAAAGGGCUACUGCGGUACCAACCGGAAGAAAAUCAGUCAAAUCCCUUUUCUUCUUUCUUUUCUUUGUGUCCGGCGGAUGUCUUAUAAAUCGUCUCUCUUUCAUGAUCCGUUGCGGAAGGGUACGCAACUCGAUCGGUCCUCCGGACUAUUCGCUAUUCGGUAUUGAAAAGAAAGGCGUAUUUCAAUCAAAUUCACCCGAAGCAGAAUAAGCAGCGGAAUAAAUCGGGGCGCGAGACUAACCUAAAGGGGAAGAAGCAGUACCUUUGUUCUUGUUCCAGUCGAGUUUCAAUUCAAGAGUUGAGGAAAAGCCGAUGUAGUUUUGUCGCUGAGGCUCAACCGUAUCUCUUCCUUCUUAAGCCUCUUCUAGAUUUGAUACUAGAAGUCGCUUUUCUUGUUCUUGAAUAGGCAGAUCGAGAACGAAGAAUAAGAACAAGACUCAAAUCAAAGGAAGAAAGGAAUCAAAGAGGUUCCUUCCAGAAGUGCUAGCCCUUGUUCAUUGGGAAUAAAGAAUAGACCUCUCUUUCUCCGGACCACAAACUCAAACAAAAACGAUAAUCAAACUAUGUUCAUUUCUGUCCUAGGACAAUGCCUUGCAAUUUCCCGGCUUUUUUGAAGCAAAAUAGGACUAAAUAUCAUCUUUCUAUUUAACGAAAAUAGAGAAAAAAAGAAGGCAUUUGACUUGAUUUCUUGCUACUUCCCUAUGGGCAAAACCUAGCAUUUUCCGGGAUUUCCCUCCGUCUUCAAUCUCCAAAUCAAUGAAGGAGUACAAUGAAAUCAUAAUGAUUCUUGAAUUCGAGUUAAUGUUAAUGAGCUUCUUUUCGUCAAUAUUCUAUAUUCUUUUCACCUUUCUUUCUCCGUCCUCAGUCCUAUCCAUAUUAACCCGUCUGUCCUUCGGACGGGGGAUUUGAAUACUAUUACUUCUUAUUUGACGUUAGGAGCUUUGAAUUUGCGAAGCGCUCGGAGAAUCAGAAUAGAAUGAGAGAGAGGAUUGGGACCGAAGGACAGCCGUACCCACCUACCCCGAACCCUGUAACCACAGCUAUGCCUAACCACUAGGCCUAAGCAAAACCUUGUUCCCUGUGCACUAAAGAACCCAAGAACUCUAGUUCAAUCUCAUUCUCUCCUAACCCAGUACCCGUUCCACGCUAUAAGCGCCUUGGCGUGAGACGAUCUGACGAUCUUUCUGACCUAUUGAUCUACUAAGACAAUUCUACAGCUUCAAGAAGAGAAAAGCCAAUCCCCUAAUUUCAGGGCCAUGAAGGGAGAGCUUCUAAUUCCGCUUCGGACCAAUUCUUGAUUCUCGUACUUCUGAAAGCGAUCUAGCGGACUAUGCGGGGACUCAAGGGGAAUGCCCAACUAUUUACGUAAAUCAAUGAAGAAAUCAGCCACGCAAUAGGCCUUACCAGAGAGAGAUCUAGAUCUUAUCCUGCUGACUCCUCAAGACGCGCACCCCUAUUUAUUUAUUUAUGGAUGUUCAUUGUAUUAAGCUACGAAGGCCCGAAGCGAAGCGACUGGAAGGAUAGAAGGUACUCGGCUUUCUACCCACUCCGCGGUGCCAUAAGACAGGUCCGAAGGACAGACGGGUUAAUAUGGAUAGUCCUUCGGACUGACUCCGCCAUAAAAGAUAGGGGGGAUGAAUGAGUGCCAGGAUCUUGUGAGGCUUCGGAGAGAAUACGUCUUUCUAUGAUUCCUCUUCUUUCUGCCCUAUGAAGACCGAAACGAAUAAUCAAAAAAAGAAGCUCGUAGGGAUAGGGGAAUCCAAUUCAAUACCGUCCAUCCUUACUAAGGAUGCGCUUUCUUCGGCUGCUUCAGUGAAUGCACCAACCCCUACGAUUGAUUCUGUCUUUUCCCUUGCCCCGAACUGGUCUCGAUCGAUCCCAUCCCGAUAGCCUGUCAGAAAAUAAAUAGAGAAAGAAGAAAGUAAUUCAGUCUGAUCCCUUUUUCUGAUUCCCGAUCUGAAACAAAGACGAAUGAGAACAGUCAAUUCACUCAAAGAAAUCCCCAUGUUCUGAACACCGAUGUGUACUUUAAGAUGUCGCCCUAGGCUCACUGGUACGAGAGAAAAUGCUUUAGGAAGGGGGCCCCAUAAAUAAGGUGGAACUCCGGCCGGCGCACCCAGCUUAUUAAUUCCUUCCCGUCCCAUAACAAGAUUGAGUUCCAAUCUAAUCGAUAAUUCUUUGAGCCCUCCGUUAGGCGCAAAGAAUAUUGCGAGACCGGUCCUACGUCCGGAGUCCGCAGUGCCAAAGAAAGGUCCAGGGUCCGGAGUCCGCAGGAUUCUUAUCCGGAGUCCGGAGGAUUCUUAUCCGUAGGACUAUCCAUAUGGAAGUAGGACCAUCCGUAAUUAACCGAAGGAGGACCAUCCAUAUGGAAGGAAGGACUUCUUUCUCCAUUAGUUUUUCCAUAUUAACUUCUUCCUUUCUUAAGGCGAGCUAAAAGAUUCCUCUUCCAGCUUCCUCUUACUAAAUGUAGGUCGAGUUAUUGAAUUCCUACAUAUGAAUAAUUGGUCGUAUGAGCACCGAGUCAACUCAUUCAAUGAUCUAGGCCGACCCUUUACAGUCUCGGUCAAUUACAAUUACAUCGCCCCAAUUGUCUAUCGGUAAAUCGGACAAGAAAGAAGGUCAAUCCGGUCCUUUGUUAGCAGCUACUGAAGGUCAAUCUGGCCUAGCCCCUUAGUAUUGGUAGAGCAGGCUCUUUGUCGAGUUUCUUCCCGGACCCUCAAAAUAGAGUAUAGAGUGAGAGCUUAGCUUCUUUCCGAUCCAUUCCAAUGCUACCCCUUCAAGCCGCGCCUAUUUCCUAUUAAUUAAGUUCCGCCUUAAAGGCCCAAUUCCAAGUUGUGAAAGAUGGCCUUGACUUUCUUCUUAGUGUAUUAGAAUACAUAUUCCCAAAGAAGAGAGGAUAGAGAGUCCGCUUCCGCUCGAGUGUGAGAACUAGGGCCCACCGCUCCGUGGGUAAUGAGAUCUUUGGUCCCAUUGAGUCUUUGAAGGAUCAGUGGAAGCUCCUUCUUUAAUGAAAUAGGUGAAGCAUGAAGAGCUAAGCCACUGACGAACCCUUUCUGCGCGUAUGAGGUUUCUGGAGAUAUCUGCUCGGCGCACUUCCCGGUAGAAAAAGAGUCUAAGAAAGGAGCAAAGAAUUUGCGUGGAUGUAUAAGGAUCCCAUUUACCCCUUUCCUUUCUCUGGUUGAUAAGCUUGAUAAGAGAACCCUUGAAAUCAGAGGGAUUUAACCUAACCGUCUUCUUGACUAAGAAAUGAGUAUUGACCUCAUCAAAUGCAGAAAAAUGCCUUGAUUUUAGUAGCGAUAUGGUGUGCCCUCUACUUCUGCCCAGUCUCUAAUGCCUGCAGCAUUAAGGGAUGACUUAAGAUCUGGUCUCACAGCUGAACUUCCGAUCCUUAAUAGUCUCGACCCUUGUUCAUUGAUUCGAUCUUCUAAACUUUUAACCUGCUUAAGCAGCGGGGAGUUUCUUCCUCUUUUCUUUGACCGGAGUGAAAAUAGAGUAUUUAUUACGCACUAUUUCUAUGUUCUCGCUUACGUGUUCUGGAAAGUUCCCAAGAACGAAUGCAAAUUAAUAGGGCACAUUAAUAUACAUUAAAUAAUCAGCUGAAAGAACGGACGCAACAAGGACUACAGCAAGAACCGUGGCCCAUUAGGGUGGAGUUCAUUCUGGAAACCUUGGCUUUCUUCUUCCACACAAGGGUCAAAGAAUUUGAGUCCUGCCUUGAUUCGCGGGGUUUUGAAAGAAAAUGAGUUCAAGCUAGCAGGGGUCGGACCUUUCGCUGAGAGAACAACUGUGAUUCUGCAAAUCAAAUACCCGCUCUAUCGGCUUGCUGGGAUUAUGGAGGGGGAAUCCUUUCUUUAGUUAUCAUUAAUUUCUGAGAUAAAAGAGAGAGAAGGUUCCAACAAAGGAUGUGCCUUAUGUUCGCGUGCCCAAGCUCGUACUUCUUCAACAGGGAGACCCCUUUUUACAGGGAAUUAGAUUGAAGAGAUGAUAAUAAUUGAAUUAGAGCAUAUUUAGAGAAAAUAGUACUUUGAGAGUCCGAAGGACUGAUUUAUUCCACUUAAGUUAGGAUGAGAAGUUAGCGCUUAAAGUAGAUGAUCAAAGAGAACUAAAUGGGCGAUCAACGGCUAAAAAGAGAGAGUGAGAGCUUAGCUUCUUUAUCUACUCCAACUGCUUCCUCCACGGGGAGAGGUGGGGAUUGGAGAAGGGUCUUGAGCUGCUCGUAUGCGUCCUGAGAGAAAGUGCCAUUUCACGAGGUCGAAAGAGGAUAGACAAAGAUUUCCCAGGACAUAGAGAAAGAGGCUAUUAGCCGACGUCUCCUACGCCUUGCUUACCGAUCUCACGAACUACUUCUCCAUCCCGACGAUACGAUACAUCUAAUUACCGACGGAGCGGUAGAUGGGCCCUCAAAUAGCAGCUUUGUCCCACUCGAGCGGGUUAGGAGGUGGAGUCACUGUUGGGGAAUUCGACAGGAAUUCUCUUUUUAGGCGGAGCCUUUCGGUUGCAGUUCUUGUUCGCCUUCCCGCGUAGUGGGUACCGUAUGAGGUUUUAGUUGCCUUAGAAAAAAAAGAGGUAAGAAAGAUCAUGAUUUCGUAAGGCAAGGCCAGUUUGAUUCAUUCUUUGACUUUGAAUUAAUGGGUUUUAGUAGGGUCCUUUGUCCUCUUUGCGCUCCUUAAUAGUAAUAGUCGCUUGGCUUCGCAUCUUCAUAUUUGUAAUAGUCUUCGUCUAGUGGAAUUCUUUCGUUGCACUCCGUCCUCUUGACUCCUUUUCUCUCUUCUUUUCAUGCCUUUCGUAAACUCUUUCUUCAUUGAUUCAGUUUUUUUUCUCGCUAUUUCAUAAUGCACUCCUUCUUAUUGGAUAAGGAAGGAAUGAGCUUGAAACUCCUCGCAUAUUGAAUUGGGCCUCUACAUUAUUUGAUUUUGAGUCGAGUUAUUUCAUAACCUCCGGACCGUCCUCUUGACUCGUCUUUUCUCUUUCUAUUAUAUUUGAUAUUUGGUUUAGUGGAAUCUGACUCCGUAGGAGGCUUCGCAUCUUAAUGUUUUAUAUAGUCUUUUCAAAUCAUAAGAACCUUGCCGUAGGUCGUUUUCUCAAUCAUAAAGACCUCUUUACUCUAAAAGGUCGGAUCGUCCGCUGUACCCGCCCACUACGCGGUUGAAAGAUCAGUUUCUCUUUCUGUCGUUGUGGCAAAGCCAUUAUUCUAAAUAUGGUAUAUUCACGAGUAGGAUGAAAUACGGAUUGAUGAAAAAGUCAAUUCAGAGUUCUGGGACAAAGACUCCCAGAAACCGGAGGCAAGGUUAUUCCAUAGCGAGACCGGUCCGGAGGCUCAAAGGAUAUUGAGCGAUGGCGCAAAGAAUAUAUAGAAGGUGCGGGUUAUUCAAAUUUCAGGAUCAGGACUCUAAGAAUAGACCUCUCUUUCUCCGGAACACAAACUCAAACUAGAAGUGAGAAAUGUGAAUUUCUGGGAUAGGAGUUCUUCUUGAAUUGCUAUUUCCCGGCUUUUUUGCUUCUUUUUCAUAGUUUUUCUCAUAUUGAUAUUUAACGAAAAUAGAUCAAUUUUGACUGAUUUUUUGUCUUUUCUUGCUACUUCCUAUGGGCAAAACCUUGCAAAAUCAUGUAUUUCACUCCGUCAAAAAGACUAAAAUCGAUGUCUGAAAUCUCCCAUAUUCACCUCUUUCUUUUUCAUUCCCAUUUUUUUCUUCUUUCAUUAUCGUUAAUGAGUUCAUUCUUUCUCUCAACUCCUCUUGAGAUAAUUCUUUGAGCCUUCCUGAUGGAUAGUCCUUCGGACCUGUCUUAUGGAACCAACCUCUCCUUACAGUCGAGCCGCUUUCGCUCCUCUCCUCGAUCAAGAGGUUAUUAGUCUCAAAGGAAGAGGAAGUAAUAUAAUAGCUCGACGUUCAAGGGCACAUACUGAGUUUACGAAGAAGAGGAGAAAUGAGUUUACGAACGAUCUAGGGAAGAGUUGAAUCUUUUCUUGCUGUGGAAGUAGCUGAAUAAGGCUCUUUCUGAAGUGGUUGAAGGAGAGGUUCUAGCUUUUCUUGUUCCGGUUUCAUAAGUGGCAGUGGACAUUGGCAGCCUCAGCUGCUAUCUCUCUUGCCCAAGCAAGGCAAAUAUCAAGGCUUAAAACGAGAAAUCCUGGGAUUGUAAUGUCCCAGUUGGUUAGUCUCUAAUACUGUGAUUUGACUAUUUCAUGAUUCCACGUUCUUUAAGGAAGAAAGGUCAGACGGAGAAGUCAGAUAAUCAGCCGUAGCCCAUCCAAUAAGGAAGAACAGACUAAAAAGUCAGAUAAGACUUAAGGCGCGAAGCGACAACCUACUAAACCUACGGCAGAACUGGAGGCAAGGGGCGAAGAGAAGAUACCGUAGGUCAGACUAUUACAAAGAAGAAGAAGACGAUAAGACGAUCAGACGAUAUUGAAUGCUCCGAAUCGUCUUCCUUCCGGCUUUCCCUUCUUUUUUCUUCUGGGGAAUCUUCCCCCUUAUCUUUUUCCGGCUUUCUCGGAAAGAUCCCUUGAACUGUGACUGGGCUGCGCCUUUGAUUCUGAGUACUUUAUCUAAGAGUACUUUAUCUAAGAGUUCUCGAUCCGAGUAGAUCGUAGAUCGGAUCGGCUUUGCCUUUUCUUUUCCUUCUUUAUCCGGGGAAUCCUCCCCCUUGACUUUAUCCGGUAAAUUCCCCUUGACUGACUUAGGGGCCGAGAGGUACUAGCUCGGUAUCGUCAUUCCCUUCUUCGAGAUCUACGAUCGGUAUCGGCUUUGCCUUUUCUUUUCCUUCUUUAUCCGGGAAAUUGUCCUUGACUUAGGGGCCUUCCGGCCUCGACUCCUUCUUCUUCUUUAUGCUGUGGGGAAACCUUCCCCUUACCUUUUUCUUCUGGGGAAUUCCCCUUUACCUAGGGGCCUUUAGGCCUCCUUCCCUUCUUUUUCCUCUGGAGAAACCUUCCCCUUAUAGUAGUUCCCUUCUUUUUCCUCUCUCAAAUUCUUUGAUCCUCCCCUUUCAAUCAAGGAAGUUGCCGAUAGGCCUCGACUCCUUCCCUUCUUUCUCCUCUGGGGGAAUCCUCCCCCUUGACUUUAUCCGGCUUUCUCUUUUGUCUUCCUUCCGGCCGGCGGCCUUUGCCUUAGUUCGUGGUAGAUCCGAGGAGAUCGGAUCGGCUUUGCCUUUUGUCUUCCCCCUUAUCUUUAUGCUGUGGGGAAACCUUCCCCUUAUAGUAGUUCCCUUCUGUAUCCUGUGGGGAAUGCUCCCCUUUCAAUCAAGGAAGUUUCCGAUAGGCACUGAAGGAAAGUCAAGGCCGAUAGGCUAAGCUCUUGACUCAUUCAUUCCAUAUUACUAGAACCCAGAAGACGAUUCCGUCUGAUCGUCUUCUUUCCUCAAUAUUCUUUGAACCUGAUUUUGCUUUAUUCUUUGGGGAAUCUUCCCCCUUAAAUAACUAAAGUCCGAUAGGUACCUUCUUUAUUUCAAUCAAGGAAGUUGCCGAUAGGCACUCAAGGAAAGGGCCUUUAGGCCGAGAGUCGGCUUUGCCUUUUGUCUUCCUUCUUUCCGGCUUUGCCUUAUCUUAUUAUAUUAGUUCGUGGUAGAUCCGAGGAGAUCGGAUCGGCUUUGCCCUUUUGUCUUCCUUCAGUGAACAGGAAAGUGCUGGAGUUGUACGUAUCUACUGCCUUGCCCACUUGUUCAGGGGAUCGGCCCAGGCUAGAAGAAUGAUCCUAGAGCGUGGCGCCUCGAAAACAAACUUUUUGUGAAUAUCUCAUCAGCUCCGUCAUGAAAAAUCAUGAAAGGAGGCGCCAUUACGGUUCCUCAAGCGGAGAGCGCGCCCCGGGAGUCUAACCCGGUCGUCUCGCCAAGAUAAGAGAGUACGGCGCCGUGCAAGGAUUUACCUCUUCUCUUUGCCCUUCCUCUCCAUCUUGUUUCUCACCUGACCUUGCAUAGUUUCGAUCUGUCUGCAAGAACCCGAUUAGCUGAUUGAUUCUUCGUUUGUAUGAGUGCGGGACGCUCCAUCAAUUCACCAACAGAAAUAAGGAGCCCCCAUACAAUCAAUAGUCGAUACGGGCUUUCGUCCCGUAAAGCGCAUGGGGCACGUUCUAGGAUGGAGGAUGGGGUUCUUCUAGGUACGUAGCAAUCCAUACUUUCUACUAUUCACUGAUUCGUUCUUGCCGAAAGAAGGACGUACCGACCUCACUUCCUUCCGACAAGGGCUCUACCUCUACUUCUGAAACUCAAAACGUCGGACCUUGGUCGCUUUAUACAGAGGAUCCCAGAGGGCUUGAUUGCUCAAGAGCCGUAGGAUUUCCCUCCCUGGUACCCAUGCUAAGGUGUUCUUAGAAAUUCUCCUUACAAGAGAUUCCGUACAAGUGUAAGUUACUUUUCUAAGAGGAACCUUAACUAUGAUGCGGAUUCAAUUGGCAUCUCCCUGCUCUAUGGUCUUUACACGACCGAGUCUAAAUGUCCCCCUCCCAGUACCUAUUACCUUCAGUCCCAGGGCUUCGGAUUUUGAACUGCGUCACCUACGUCAAUAUUCUUUGAACCUUGGUACUACGAUCGGAGAUCAGAUCAAAAAGGCUCUUUUCCGGCUUUCUCUUUUCUGUCCUCCUUCCGGCCGGCCUCAAUAUUCUUUGAACCUUCUUUAUCCGUGGAAUCUUCCUUUUCUGCCUUUCCCGCUCCGUGGGCGUAGUUCGUGGUAGAUCCGAGGAGAUCGGAGAUCGGAUCCUAUCGCCUUUCCCUUUUGUCUUCCGAGAGUCGGCUUUGCCUUUUCUGUCUUCCUUCCGGCUUUCCCUUUUCUUUUCCUUCUUCGAAAUAUUCUUUGACCCUGAAAGUAGUUCCCUUCUGAGAGAUCGGAUCGGAGAUCGGAUAGGUACCUCCGUUAAAUCAAGGAAAGUCAAGGCCUUCCGGCCUCGAGUCCUUCCCUUCUUUCUUCCCUAGAUCCGAGGAGAUCGGAGAUCGGAUCGGUAUCCGCUUUCCCUUUUGUCUUCCUUCCGGCCGGCCGGCUUUCCCGCUCCGUGGGCGUAGUUCGUGGUAGAUCCGAGGAGAUCGGAGAUCGGAUCCUAUCUGCUUUCUCUUUUGUCUUCCUUCCGGCUUUGCCUUACCCUGAGUUCGUGGUACCCUUUAUUUCAUUUAGGGUCCGAGAGUCGGCUUUGCCUUCUUCUCGAUUCAUUGACUCGGAUUCAACCUUCAAACUUGCUGGCUGUCUUCCUUCUUUAUCCUGUGGGGAAUCCUCCCCCUUGACUUUAUCCGAAGAAUUCCCCUUUACCUAGGGGCCUUUAGGCCUCCUUCCCUUCUGAGAGAUCGUAGAUCGGAUCGGCUUUGCCUUUUGUCUUCCUUGAGAGUAGGCUUUCCCUUUUUCAUAGAGUUCGUGGUACCCUUUAGUUAGGGGCCCUCCGGCCGAGAGUCUGCUUUCCCUUUUUUUUCUUUUCCUUCUUCGGGGAAUUAAGUAGUUCCCUUCUUUAUCCUCUAGGGAAUCUGAAAUCAAGGAGGUUGCCGAUAGGGACCGAACCUAUUCCUUCCCCUUACCUUAAAUCAAGGAAAGUCAAGGCCUUUAGGCCGAGAGGGACUAGCUCGGUAUCGGCUUUGCCUUCUUCGAGAUCGGAGAUCGGAUAGGCACUUUCAAUCAAGGAAAGUCAAGGCCUUUAGGCCGAGAGUAGGCUUUGCCUGAUUUAUCCCUUUAUCCUGUGGGGAAUCCUCCCCCUGACCUUGAAAGGAAAGUCAAGGCCUUUAGUUUAGGCCGAGAGUGAGAGUAGUUCCCUUCUGAGAGAUCGGAUCGGAGAUCGGAUAGGAUGCCUGUCUUCCUUCCUUCCGAGAGUCGGCUUUGCCUUCCGGCCGGCUUUGCCUUUUUCAGAGAGUUCGUGGUACCCGGUCCGAGAGUCUGCUUUCCCUUCUGAGAGAUCGGAGAUCGGAUCGUAGAUCGGAUGCCUGUCUUCCUUCUUUCUCCUGUGGGGAAUCCUUCCCCCUUAAAUAAGUAAAGUAAAGGCCUUUAGGGACCGAACCUAUUCCUUAGCCUUAAGUCAAGGCCUUUAGGCCGAGACUCCUUCCCUUCUUCCUUCCCUAGAGGAGAUCGGAUAGGGACCUUAAAGAAAUAAAGGAAACUAAAGGCCUUUAGGCCUUGAGUCUGCUUUCCCGCUCCGUGGGCUUAGUUCAUGGUAGAUCCGAGGAGAUCGCAGAUCGGAUCGGCCCUUUUGUCUUCCUGAGAGAGUCGGCUUUGCCUUUUUCAGAGAGUUCGUGGUACCCCUUAAAUCAAGGCCUUUAGGCCGAGAGUCUGCUUUCCCUUUUCUUUUCCUUCUUUAUCCUGUGGGGAAUGCUCCCCCUUAAAUAAAGGAAGUUAAGAUAGGCAUCUCCUUUAAAUCAAUGAAAGUCAAGGCCGAUAGGCCGAGAGUCCUUCCCUUCUUCGAGAUCUACGAUCGUAUAGGUACCUCCUUUAAAUCAAGGAAGUUAAGAUAGGCACUCAAGGAAAGGAAAGUCAAGGGUAAAGGCCUUCCGGCCUCGAGUCCUUCCCUUCUUCCCUAGAUCCGAGGAGAUGAGAUCGCAGAUCGGAUCGGUGUCUUCCUUCCGACCGAAAGUCGUCUUUGCCUUUUGUCUUCCUUCUUUCCGGCUUUGCUUUCUUCGAGAUCGGAGAUCGGAUAGGGACCUCCUUUAUCUUCUGGGGAAUCUUCUCCUUAUCUUUUUCCGGAAAAUUCCCCUUAACUUAACUUAGGGGCCGAUAGGCACCUUAAAGCAAUCAAGGAAAGGUUCUACCUUUACUUUAGAGAGGUACUAGCUCGGUAUCGUCUUUUCCUUCUGUAUCCUGUGUGUGGGGAAGAUUCCCCCUUAUCUUUCAUAGGGGAAUUCCCCUUUACUUAGGGGCCUUCCGGCCGAGACUCCUUCCCUUCUUCGAGAUCGUAGAUCGGUAUCGUCUUUCCCUUCUUUUUCUGUAUCCUUUGGGGAAGAUUCCCCUUAAAUCAAGGAAGUUGCCGAUAGGCACCGCUCCGUGGGGGAUUCCUUCCCCUUUGCCGAGAGUCCUUCCGUCCGAGAGUGGGGAAUCCCUGAGAUCGGAGAUCGGAUCCUAUCGUCUUUGCCUUUUGUCUUCCUUCCGGCCGGCCCUUCCCUUUUUCAGAGAGUUGUGGUACCCGGCCGAUAGGGCCCGGGAAACCUUCCCCUAUUUAGGUUCCGAGAGGGACCGACUUUGCUUUGCCUUUUCUUUUCCUUCUUUAUCUGUGGAAUCUACGAUACCCAAAGGCCUUCCGGCCGAGAGUGGGGAAUCCCUGAGAUCGGAGAUCGGAUCCUAUCUGCUUUCUCUUUUGUCUUCCGAGAGUAGGCUUUCCCUUACCGCUCCGUGGGUUCGUGGUACCCGGGCCGAUAGGCCGAGAGUGAGAGUAGUUCCCUUCCUUAUCUGGGGAAUCCCCCUUUUCCGGCUUUGCCUUACCCGCUCCGUGGGUUCGUGGUACCCGGGCCGAGAGUGGGCUUUGCCUUCAGAGAGAUCGGAUCGUAGAUCGGAUCGGAUGGCUGUCUUCUUUCUCCUCGGAUGGCUGUCUUCUUUCUCCUGUGGGGAAUCUUCCCCCUUAUCUUAUCUUUAUCCGGGAAACCUCUUCCCCUUAGAGUAGUUCCCUUCUUUCUCCUGUGGGGAAUCCUCCCCUUUAAGGAAGUUUCCGAAGAAAUAAAGUCAAGUCAAGCAAGGCCGAUAGGCCGAGAGUGAGAGUAGUUCCCUUCUUCCCUAGAUCCGAGGAGAUCGUAGAUCGGAUCGGUCUCUUCCUUCCUUCCGGCCGGCUUAGGAGAUUUCCUGGAAAAAGGAUGGGAUUUGAUCAAAUGGUCUUGAUUUUGACUUCGGAGACGAUAGGCAGGCAGGGCAGAAAGUAGAAGAUACAUUUUUUCUUGCGCGAGAUCCAGCAAAGAAAGAAAGAGCCGGAACAGAUCGAAGAACGAGAAUCUUCCACCUCUUUCAACCGCUCUCUCCUUGCCCGGAAUGAUACCCGAUACGCAACAUCUCUUUCUAACUUUCCCCUACGAACUUCUUGGAACUCAUACAUAGCUUGACUAAGAGAAUCUAAAGUAAAGGCUUGCCGCUCCUUCGACUGAUUGAAAGCAUCGGAUCUCAGGUUCUCUAUUGCACUCCCUAAAUAGGGUUCGAAGAAGGGAGACUAGAGAGGAGAGGGUCAAAGUUCGGUUAAUUACGGAAAGUCCGACUUCGGUUAAUUACGGAUGGUCCUACUUCGGUUAAUUACGGAUGGUCCUACUUCCAUAUGGAUAGUCCUACUUCGGUUAAUUACGGAUGGUCCUACUUCCAUAUGGAUAGUCCUACGGAUAAGAAUCCUCCGGACCCUGGACCUUUCUUUCUUUAAUGGAUAGUCCUACGGAUAAAUCCUGCGGACUGCGGACUCCGGACUACGGAUAAAUCCUGCGGACUGCGGACCCUGGACCUUUCUUUGAUGGUGCGAAGGCGCAAAGAAUAUUGCGGUUUGGAGGAGAGGCUCAAUGUAAUAUGAGUUGAGGCGCAUGAAAUUCAGAGGUGCAAAGAAUAUUGCGAAAAGAGCGGUCGAAGAACUUAUUCUACAGAAAGAGCAGCCACAUCGUCUGGCCCAAGAGCCUACUUAAAUAAAAGAGGGUGAGGUCCCCAGGUGGUUCAUCGACUGAUUCCUCCCCCGCCCGGGCCUUUCUGACUCUUUCUUAUUCCGAAACUGAGACAGAUGAAAGGUGCCACUUCUUCCCCCUCUAAUUCUGCCUUUGAAUUCCCCAAUGAUCCUUGUUUUGAUUCAUUCAUGUGAGUGGCAGCAAGAAAAAGAGAGGCAAAUAACCGUAAUUAAGAGUCACAAACGAGUUCAGCUACCUUUCCUACCCCUCCAGAUCGAUCCCCCCAAAAACAAAGGGCUAGAUAAUAUUCUUUGCGCCUUCUGACUAUUCAUCCUAUUUCUUUAGGAGGACUCAUAUAAGAAUGUGGCCCCACUCCUAGGUUAGCGAGAAGGAAUCCGAAUCUCUGGAUUAGUGGAUUAAGAGCCAUGUUCGCUCGGUAGCUGCAGUGGUGGUUGAUGUCUCAUCCCUUCUUUCAGGUUUCGCUUCAUCGGCUGAGCCAGCUCUCGUCCUUUAGCUGGACAAACCUUCUUUCUUUCAUUGAAUUCCCCACGAAUACCGUGAAAAGGCAUGAAAACGUAAACCACUGAACUUAGUUCGCUAAGAGAAAGCCGUCAGUCCCAUAACAUGAAACUUAAGGAAAGAAUGCCCAACGGAGUCUUUCAUUUAAGCUAUUUCUUUGGUUCGGUAUUGAAUAACUAAAAGCGAGAGUUCUGGUUGGGGAAGAGUGGACGCGCCCUCAUUUAAGAGAAUUGGACGCCCCGCCCUGGCAAUAAUAGAGUCAGCGAAGCAUCGGGUAAGGGGACUCAGAUGAGACAGCCGCUGUGUCUCUUGAAGUACCACUUCUUUGAAUGCGACUAUGGGUUCAAUUCAUUCACGUGGAAUCGAGUCAAAUAACAGAAAUAGAGACUAAGCGGAGUACAUAAAUACGCCUUGAAUGCGGCCUUACGAUCUGCCCCAAGAUAAGAAGCAACUGAAGAAAGAGGAGGACAAGAAAAGCAACUCCAACUCCCACCGGACCACGAUACUUUUCAUUGACUUCUCUUCCCAACCGCUACGUGGGGUUAAAGAAAGAAUUCCUCUCCAAAGAAAAAUCGAGCCCUCACGCACCCGUCAGAAAUGGGAUAAAAUAGAUGGGAGAUAAAGGUGAUAAGAGCUCUAUGGGGAAAGAAGAAACCUACUCGAGCCGAGAUAGGAUGAGGCGCAACAAGAUUUAGUUCCAUUAAUCAGUCAGAAAGACAUUCUUUCUUUUUGUUAGGCGCAAAGUAAGCCCUUCUAAUUCCGGAGGAUUUAUCCGUAGGACUAUCCAUUAGGAGAGCUGAAAAGAAUAUAGUAGCAAGAAAUCAUGAAAAAUCAGUCAAUAAAGAAUAGACCCGUAUUUCUCCGGACCAGAAACUCAAAGUUUGAACAAACUAUGUGAAUUUCGAAAAUCAAAUAGGACAAUGCCUUGCAAUUUCCCGGCUUUUUUGCUUCUAAAUAGGACUUUUUCGACUUUUCUUAUCUAACGAAAAUAGAUCAAAAAUGACUGAUUUUUCAUGAUUUCUUGCUACUAUUUCUUUUCAGCUCUCCUUAUCAGUCGAGCCCAAAACCUAGCAAAAUCUUGUAUUUCCCUCCGUAAAAACAAGGUUAUGAAAUCCGAAUUAUUCUUGAAUUCGAGUUAAUGAGUGAAUUAUUCUUUUCUUUGAUUGACUUUGAACAGGUCCUUCGGCUAGGCGCAAAGUUCGGUUAAUUACGGAUGGUCCUACUUCGGUUAAUUACGGAUGGUCCUACUUCCAUAUGGAUAGUCCUACGGAUAAGAAUCCUCCGGACUCCGGACUACGGAUAAAUCCUGCGGACUCCGGACGUAGGACUACUUCGGUUAAUUACGGAUGGUCCUACGGAUAAAUCACCUGGACCUUUCUUUGGCCCUGCGGACGUAGGACCCUGGACCUUUCUUUGGCACUCCGGACUGGAUCUUCUAGGAGUUUUCUACCUUUCAAUUCUUGACUAUCAAAAGACCUACGGCAAGGGGUUGAUGAUGACGAAGACUAUGUAAAAGAUUAGUAUGCGAAGCCAAGCGACUGUAUAUAAUCUAAAAAGAAAGGACUCCCUAGGACUUAGGUCUUUAUGAUUUAGAAGACUAUCAUUUAAGAGGAGCGCAAUUCAAUAUUCUUUGAACCUUCGGAAAAGAUGAACCGAAAAUCGAUUAGAUUAUGCUGAAGGAGGGAGCGCAAAGAGGACGACGGACUCCGGACCGGCUGGCCAGCCAAUAAGUUGCUUUCGAAAAGAAUAAGUUGCUUUGUCUUAGAAUAGGUUGAAUGAGAAAUUGAACUAGAAAUCUUUGAUGAACAAAUAGCGUAAGUAAUAGCAGAAAACCUACGGAAUAUACUCGUCCUCCGCGGUAGUGGUUGCGAAGAAUUCAGAUCCUUUCCUUACUUUAGAACGCCAGCGCCCAAGAAGCCUUUAUUUACUAAGGCUGGUCCACGUAUGGUUAGUACAAACCUCUUGAGAAGAAGCUGAUCUCGGAACUUUCCAUGAACUAUGACGGUAGACAAAGCUUUGUAUCUCGAUCUUCUUCUUCUCUUUCAAAAGAAAACCCUCUUCCAGUAUAUAAUAGCUAUUCAUACUCAUCUGGAUCUUUGUUUUUGGGUCCUUUUUAUUUGACUAUUCAUCAUAUUUUCUUGCAGACGAAGUCCUUAAAGAUGAACCGAAAAUCUUCUUUGAGCCUUCCUGAUGGAUAGUCCUUCGGACCUGUCUUAUGGGGCCUCAGUAGCUUAAUUCUGAAAAAUCCAUAUUAGCCUUCUCACAUUCCCUAAUGGAUAGUCCUUCGGACCAGUCAAUUAAUCCGUGGGCUUACUCAGUCGUCUCGCAAUAUUCUUUGCGCCUUUGUUUUUGGACUGAUUUAUACCUCAGGACUUUCUCAAGCUUAACUUCUUCUUCCAAAAUAUAUGAUAUGGAAAGGUGCCAAAGUGCUGGAUUUCUUGCGCUGACAUGUAUCACACUCUGAAACGUACUGCUUAAUCAAGUUAAGAAUUCCUCGCCAAUACAACUCAAAGGAAAUUCCUUUAUAGGUCCGUAAGUACCCGUCCCCCAAGCACCGAGUCAUGAUAAGUAUUAAGGAUAGUCGGAAUUAGGGAAGACUGGGCUGAGAAUAGCAAUCUGUCCUUGUACAGUGCCAUUAAUCACUGAGAAAUGCGGAUGUCUAUCGGUAUUGGCUUCUAGAUCUGACUGACCCUAUCUCUUUGAGGUACUCAUCAGCACUAACCUCACUGCUCACGAUGUCGACAUCAAAAAUGGCGGGAGCUCUUAGGUUGGCCAAUUGCACGUGGGGAGGCAUACGGGAUAGAGCAUCCGCGAAUUCUGAGGCCCCGGUUUGUACUGCACUUCAAAAUCAUAUCCAAGGAGCUUGGACACCCACAUCUGGUACUCCGGCUGUAUGACCUUUUGCUCCACAAUCUAUUUAAGGGACUGCUGGUCCGUUCUCACUAUCAAUCUCCGGCCCAAGAGAUAAGAUCGCCAACGCUGGAUCGCCAUUACACCAUUAGUUCUCUUUCAUAAGCGGACUUAGCUUGAGCGCGGGGUGAGAGAACCUUGCUGAAAAAAGGGUCUCUGUCCUUGGGUUAAUACUGCCCCCACUCCUCUUCGUUCCUGAGGCAUCAGUCUCCAUAAUCAAAGGAUUAGUUCAAUCGGGUAAGGCUAAAAGGCGUAGUCUUACCAUGGCUCCUUUUAACUGCUCGAAGGCUUCUACAGAAUCUGAAGUCCAGAUAAAAGCAUCAGUACCGGUCAUCCUGUGCAGAGGUUGUGCUAUUCUCCCAUAAUCAACUAGAAACCUGCGGUAGUAACUCGUCAAUCCUAAGAAACUUCGUAACUCACGGACUGUGGUAGGUUGGGGCCAUUCUUUUAUCGCCCGCACCUUUUCUGGAUCGGCUUCAACCCCUUCUUUAGAUUAGAUACCCAAUGCCCCAAAUACUCUAGACGGCCUUGAGCAAAACGAGACUGAUGAAAGUUGAGAAUGAGACCAGCGAAGUACAAUGAAAAGACUAAAGUCAAAUCUUGAAUGUGGGAUUCGAAAUCUGGGCUGUAGAUGACAAAGAAUACUAAUCAAAAAAAAGGCCUUAAGAUCAUUCAUCAAAGAUUGAAAGGUUGCUGGUGCUCAGACCAAAGGGCAUCACCAAGAAUUCGUAAUGCCCCUCAUGCGUGCGGAAGGCUGUUUUCGCUAUGUCUGCCUCAUGGACCCUUAUUUGGUGGUAACACCCGAGCGCAGGUCUCAUUUUGUGCAAAUUUUUGCUCAUCCAGAAAUGGAAGAAAGAAAGGGGAUUGGAAAUUGAGGAGAAAUUGUCAACUCAUUUAGCGCUCGAUAGUCAAAAAGGCCAACUCCCAUCCUUUUUCCUGACUAAUAGAACCGGGCUGGCAUAAGGUCCAUGGCUGGGACGGUCCCGCUUGCAGCAUUUCCGCCACUAACCUCUCAAUCUCAUCCUUUUUCUCUCUUGAGUAAGGCUCGAGGGAGUUUACGGACGAGAGGAGCGAAGCGGCUCAUUUCAUUCCUGAGAUCGAUGAUCUCCUUCUUGGGGGUAGCUGAUCAGGUCUUUCGAAGACAUCUAAGAACCUCGCGAUCAACUCCUGUAUCGGACUCUCCUCGUCCUUCUUAGACCUCUCCCCUUGCUCUUCUACCAUCUCUAACUCCGCUGUAAUCGUCCGUAAUUCCAACCUUCACCCUAGGCGCAAAGCUCAAAUACUUUGAUCCUUUGAACCUCCGUUAUUCAUAUGGAUAGUCCUACUUCGGUUAAUUACGGAUGGUCCUACGGAUAAAUCCUCCGGACUCCGGAUAAGAAUCCUGCGGACUCCGGACGUAGGACCUGUCUUUAUCAGGAGCGUAGCGAACAGCCGUCAACUACUUGAUAGUUAUCCUAUCUUUCUCCUACGCGGAAUCCAGAAUAGACCCGUCAGUAUCCGGACCAUAAACUCAAACAAGAAUCAAACUAUGUGAAUUUCUGGGAUAGGAGUUCUUCUUUCAUUGCAAUUUCCCGGCUUUUUUGCUUCUAAAUAGGACUUUUUCUCAUCUUGAUAUUCUACGAUAAUUGUCUAAUUUUGACUGAUUUUUUGUCUUUUCUUGCUACUUCCCUAUGGGCAAAACCUAGCAAAAUCAUGUAUUUCCCUCCGUAAAAACAAGGUGAUUCAAUCCUAAUUAUUCUUUCAUUCGAGUUAAUGAGUGAAUUAUUCUUUUCUUUGAUUGACUUUUCCGCAAGAUUCUUUGCGCCUUUUCCUUUUGGAUGAAUUUGAAUCUCUCGUCUGAAGACUCUCGUCUGAAGACAUGAAAGACGAUUUCUUUCUAUUCUCAUAUUUUUCUGAUUCUAUGAGAAGGUCAAUCGGUAAAGAGGAAUAUCAUAACUAAUGAGUCACUAGCUAGCCCUUUAAUCUCACUAUUUCCUCUGCGAGAAGAGCGGCUUUCUAUCUAACCUCUGACAAUCCCCGAACCCCGCUCCGCUUCUUUGCGCUCCGUGGGCCUCUUUCUUUAGACAUCUGUGGGAGGAUUAAAGGAUGAGAGAUCCACGAUCCUGGUGAUAUGAUAGCAGAAUAUACCUACCAUCUAUUCAAGUUACCACGUCCCUUGAUUCAUUCCUUCAACCCGGGGCCCCUCGUAAACUCACUUUUUCUAUUCAAAGCGGUGGGCCUGCGAUCCUAAGCGGAAAUCUUCGUCAAUAUUCUUUGAGCCUCUUGUUGACUUUCCGAUGUGAGCAUGAGAAUGGGGAAUGAAUGAAAUGAGAUUGAUGAGUGAAUUAAGAAGGAGAAGACCAAAGGCGAGAGCCACGGCCUGGUCUGAAACCGGCCGGAAGAAGGAGAAGAAAAAGCAUGUACAGCAGCGCGGACUCUCUUCAAUCAACUCGUAUUAUUCCAUUCCCGAAGGCUUUCUUCCUCCCUCUCGAUCCUAUACCCCAUUCCUAAUAGAACCCCGAUAUGAAACUACGAGGACACACCCGACUGGGCCAUAUGGCCAAUUAUUUUCAGAAGAAAGCAAAGCCAAAGAGACCUGCUUUUAAUGCUCGACGUCGACACGGAGGGCGUACUUGAGUACUGGACGAACAAACUAUAUAACUACCCCUUUUUAGUGCGCGAAGCCGAAGCCUCCGAAACUGAGAUAGAGGGCGAGAUUUUCCUAGGAUUUCCUCAUGAGCAUGACCCUUACUUGCAAGAAUCCACGAUAGACUAAUCAUUUUUGGAAUAUUUCCUCUUGCAGUUGAUUUGAUUUUCCGGUUCAAAAAUCAUGUAUAUUAUCAAUCCGACAUCUUGAUCGAUUUAAUCCCACAUCUGGAUCUCUUAAUCGAUCUGUCUUAAUCGAUUUCAUCCUAUACUUCUUGUUAGGUACCCCAUAUUAGCGGUAGCUGUAACCUCUUUCCUAAUCGAUUUGUUCUCUCUCUUAAUCGAUCUAGCUGUCUCUUUCCUAAUCGAUCUGUCCUAAUCGAUCUGUCUUAUCUUUCCUACUCCCUUGUUAAUCGAGAAAGCUAUGUAUGCUUUAUCUCCUUUCUUAAUCGAUUGUAUUUAUCUUAAUGGAUCUCUUUCUCCCUAAUCGAUCUGUCUUCUCAUAUUACCGCAAUAUUCUUUGCGCCUUUCUUUCUUUAAAAAGAGAAUUAUCUUACUUAAUGGAAUUCUCUGAAUCGCUUGUACUGGGGACGCUCAGAGGAGAGGAAAGGAAGAAAGAAGCUAGCUAUCGGAAACGAAAGAAUUCUUAGGACUGAUUUAUGAACAGACAGAAUUCUAUUGAUUUAGCGCCACGCUGGCCUCUUUAUGUGACUCAUUCCGAUACGGGAAGGAUCGCCUAUAGGCUCUCUCUCAUAUCUACCCGAGACAGUUGUUCCACUCCGGCUACCCUCAAGAGCGGCUUAGCACCGCAGAGUGGGAAGGGGAGCGGCUUAUCGCACCUUGUUUUCUCUUUCUUUAGCAGCUUUCGUCAUAGGCUUUCUUCUAAAUAGUAGUUUGAAGCCUAUCCUUUCUUCUUUUCGUACUUCAUCGAUCUUUCUUCUUAUGGCUUUCAUAAGUAGUAGUUUCAUAAAGAGCGAUGGGCGAAUACCUGAGACAGGAUAGACGAGAGAUACCCUUUGAACCUCAGAUGGCCCUUUCUUCCGAUUUUGCUUGAAAAGAUGUGAAUGAAUGUCAACCUUUGAAUGUGAUUCGAAUGAAAGCAAGGCUUUGGGCAAUUCAAAGACUUUCAGAUAAAUAGGCCUCGCUAGCUAGAGGUUCAAGGGCUUUCUACUAAACUCAGGCAAGAGCAACUUCAGCAAGAACUUCUGAAAGGCAUCAAAAUUCCAUUCUCCUUUCAGUUGAUCCUAUUCCAAAGACGCUUCGGGUCGAGAUUCGUCAACUCGGCUGGUGGUCUGUGACGCUUUCUUUCUUCCUCAACUGAGGAAUGCUACACAGAAUUCCUAUCUUCAGGGGACUCUAUCUUUGUUCUUGUCCCACGCGGACCUCGCUUCGUACUGGGAAUCUUGUCUCAUAUACUUUGAAUAAUAAAGAAGACGAGGGCUAGCAACUUCCCUUGAAGCAGCAACUUCCACUGCGCCUCCUUCCUCUUCCGAAACCUCUCACAGCUUUCGCUUCGCUAGGCUUGAUUUUGAGUGGAAUUGGAAUUCAAAUCAGUGGAAAGCGACAGCUUUUAUGUCCUUAGAUUCAACUACGGAGGAUGAGUAGGAGCAGUCUGAUCUUCUUCUUCCCGCUCCCUCCUCAGGCGCAAAGAAUCUUGCCUUUUCCGUCAUAUUAGCUUUCCAUUUGAAUUCCACUCAAAGUUGCAGGCGAAGGCGCAAUGAAAUAUGCGUGGAACUCAAUCUUGCUUGUUAUGGGACUGAUUUAUGGAACUGAAGCUGGUCGAGCCUAAUCCUCUUGGGCGAGACUCCUAUUGAUUGAGAUCCGUGCCUGCCUUUCGAUCCUUCCCCCUACUCUUAUGGCUUUCCGUUAGCGCUUGAGGUCCUUAGUGAGGUCUAAGCAAGAGAAGAAAGAAUGAACUAUAUCAUCCCCUGGAAAAGGUGCUCAGCCACUCUACGUUGAGGAAGAAAGGAGAGGAUCAAAGAAUUUGAGACUGAAAGGAGAGGAGUUAGGUGAGACCAUAGGGAAGAGGACAAAUCGGUGAGGCCAAAGGCCCACGUAGCGGUUGUGUCCGCUUGAACCAGUAGCUUUUUGUAGAAGAAGUUGCUUCUUUUUCUGCUAUCUGCCCAUGUGUAAUGAGAUACCCUUUUUCAAGGUGAAAGCGACCGGAUAAAUCGCAUGAUUCAGUACUCAAAUAGAGAGAAGGCAGAUUGUCCCCACUUCCAUCCACCAUUCGUCCAACUAGUCCUAGGCGGGUGGUUAGGAAGCAGAACACUGUUUAGGAAGCAAGUCUUGUAGGGGUAGAGACCCAUGCGAGAUCCACACCCGUGAAGGAAAGAAGGGCGAAUCAGGUUCCAUCCACAGCUCGAGAAAAGGAAGAGACCACCCACCGGGCAGUCCGAGGUUGAAGUUAGUCUUCUGGCUGGAAAUAAAGAAGGGGCUUGACCGAGUGAAAGAGGGCAUAAGUCUCACUGAGUCAAACCCGCAUGAAAAGAGUUCAAAAAAAUCUGGUCGAUUCCCUAUUCCGGACUCAUCUUCCUCCUUUAUUUACUACCUCUCUCUUCCUUCGGAACCUGCUCGACCCCCACGGAUAAGAUAAUUACUGAAAAAGAAAUAAGUAGCAUUCUUCUUUCGACUCCUUUUCAUCCUUGUUCAUAGGAUUUCGAAAUCAUAAAUACGAAAGAAUGAAUCGGAUAUUGGCGGUGCGUGCGCAUUUUGAUAUAGCUUCCGUGUUCUCAGCCUAAGGCGAGGCUCGACUGAAAGGAGAGUGAGAGCUUCUCGAAACUAAGCUACUGCAGCAAGAACGUCUGCCUACCUGCCUGCUGGUCUCGCCUUUGAAAAAGAGUUCUCUCAUAGUGAGAGUGAAAAGAAGAGUAGGAGUUAGAGACAAAUAAGGAUGCCUUGGUCCGUCUUCUUGCGCGUCCAGCGCAGCCUUCUCGUUCAGCAUUCUUCCUAAUCUCCUCUAAAUAGGGAAUCGAAUUUCAUCUAAAAGAUUAUGACAUGCCAAACCCCAAACUCAGAGUAUAAUGGAAGAAAUCUAUUCCAUGAUCAGACGGAGUGGCCCUAAACGGGGUUCAAGGCCCUUGAUUGGGAUUCACCUGCUCUGCUGCCAACCACACCUGGAAAUGGUGUGAUAGGUUCAAAGAAUAUUGACGCCCACGAGGCGUAAUAAGGGCCUCAAUGAACAAGAGGUUGACCACACAUGAAGGUCAGAAAAUGUUUCACCAUCUACUACGGUUGAAGAGAAAAGAGAUUGAAACCUAGUGUGAGGUCGACGAUCGAUUUGGCCAUGACGGGACCCGCGGCCAUCAUACUUUGAAUAAUUUGAAUAGGCCACCGAUUGCUUGCACUCUUGAAAGGCAGUCCUUUAAUGGGGAAUCAGUCUGGUGAUAGGGCCCAUUUGCUUAAAGGUUCCAUCCAUUGGGAUAGACCGCAGAAGGUCCAUUGCCCAAGGGUGGACCGGGAACAAGAGUCGUUGUCUAAGAUAGUUACCUAUGGCAAAGAUAGGACGUUUUCCCGCGCCUUCGAAGGUUUGGGCAAGUCUACCUCGUUCAGGUAUAUUAGUUGGAUUAUUACCGAGGGGGUCUCUGAUCAUCCCUAAGGAAAGACUCUCAACUAGGACCUAAACCCAAGUGGUAAUGGAGGGUAGCUCGAGACACAUAUUGAUCCACAAGGGAUCGGUCAAAGGCAAAUAGCCGAUAACCCGGCCAAAAGACCCGGUGUCUCAAUACUACCCAACUUUCCACGAGACCUGUAGAAAGGAUAUAGGAAUGCCCCGACACAGAAUAUUUGACGUUGCUGGUAGGACUUUGAGGCUUUCCAGUUUUCCUCCUAUCCACAGGCCGGAGGCUGUUGGGAAUUACCUUGAACGUAGGAACCCAUGAUAGGCCUAACUCCAAAGGGAGAGACCUAAGAAAGGGGAGGUAUUUCUCAGAUAGUGAUUUAACUGAAGAUGAAAUCAAAAUUGAGCAGGGAGUCAUAUUCCAAAUCGCUUUUCAAGAAAGCAACUUCUAUUUUGAUCUUUGUCUUUUUAUGAGUUCGCCUUUAGUAUGAUUCCGCUCUUCGAGAACUCUGAUGAUUCUACCUCCUUCUCUAGAAAGUUCAGUCAGGAAAGCCUACCAUUAACAAGUCCUUCGCCUACAUGGAUAUAAAGAAGUCCGACGGGUCAGAAUGACCUCAAUAUUCUUUCUCAUAUUUCAUUGACCCGUCCGAAGGACUCAGAAUUCCAUAGUCCAGGUGAUCAUAUAUUGGGACACUAGGCGGUGGGCUUUCUUCUUCUUCUUCUCCUUUAUCACGGGAUAGCUCUGACUUUGAAGCGAAGGAUUAAUGGAAAAAGGUUUGAAUAAAGACUCUCAUGUGUUAAGCAAAUGAUCUGAGAUCCUUUUUUUGCCUUUCAAACUUGUCUAUUUUAUACAUCUAUGAGUAAAAAAUAUAUCUAGUUUCGAACAAGGGUGGAUUUCCAGACAUCAUGAUGUAUCAUUCAUUUUUCAUGAAUCCGUAGAAUGGAUAGUCAUCCAAAUGAAUGAUGUGCCAAGUGGUGACACGAGGGAGGAUUUUCAGUCCUCUGCUCUACCAACUGAGCUAUCCCGGCCAUUUCCGACACAUUAUCCUUCUUUUAAUAGAUGACUUUGGUCUAUUAAGAAGAAAAUCAAAGGGACCAGAUGAGAGACGGGUUAAUAUGGAUAGUCCUUCGGACUGCCCUUUUUUUUUUGAUUUUGGAGGGGGAGCGGAGGCGCAAUGAAAUAUGCGUGAAUGAAUGAAUGCGCUUUCUUGAUUCUUACUUCAGAUUCCUUUAAGUAGGUUUAGAAGGCUCCUUUUGAUAGGCUUUCUCUCUCUACUCUAGUAAAGCUUUUUUUGUUGAGUAGGUUAUUGGUGGCGGAGAAGGACGUAGAAGGCAUCAAAAUGCAAUUCCUCUGACUUGAAACCGCGGAGUGGGAAGGCUUAGAGAAGAUCAGAAGAGAAAAUAGAAGAGAAGAGCUUGAAUUGAAAGAGAAGAUCAGACUCGAGUGAGGAAGAUAGAGAUCAAGAGCGGGAGAGAAAGAAGAAGAACAAGAACCUACUACUACUAAAAUCAAAGAAGACUAUAUAUAAAGGAGAGGCAAGGAAGAAUUGCCUAUCCUUCUACGUCCUCCUAAAGAAAGCCUAAGUCAGAAAGCCUAUCAACUAGAAAUCAAUGAACAAGGCUCAAAGAAUGAUCGGCGUCCUUUUGACCUCCGGAACCUAUUAGUGGAAUCUUUGACUUAGUGGAAAUUAUAAGGGGUCCAGAUGACUUGUUAAUGGAACUGAUUGUAGUAGGCGUCGGACCUUCAAAGUCAUUCAUACUAUAUUCACUUUCUGGGCUUGAGGCUAAAGAAUAUGAGUUCUCGCCCAAGACGGCGACUUUCACUUCGCUCAUAUUACAUUGAGCCUCUCACGCAAGUCAAAUUCUCUAAUGGAUAGGCCUCUACCCUCUUCGGAAAGAGAGCUGACCGGCGGGGCGGGGGUAGUUCGACUAACCGGGGUUUCAGGAGUUCCUCUGGGUCUCGACUGAGAACCUUUCCUGUCCAUGAAUGGGGAUUAUCUCGUUCAUUGCUCUCGUGCAUUCUUCUUGAGAUAAUCUAAGAUAUUACGGGGAAUCCUCUAGAAGAAACUGAAGGAAGGAAAGCUGCGGUGCGGGUAUAUUGAAUAACCGACAAAGAAAGAAAGCCACGUAGCGGUAUCUCGGGCCUAGAGGUUUGAGUACUCCAGAAGCAGGGGCUCGGUCUAAUUCAAAGAUCUGCUUCAUCCUAGGCUUUCUCUUUGGAAACUGAGAAUUAUGCCUCUGAGAUCCUAGUGCGGGUCGAGCGGCUUGAAUCUUGGACUCCUUUUAGUCGAGCUUCAACUCAUCUGGAGCUUGAUUUUUCUGUUGCAAAAGAAAGCGGAAAUCUUCAAGCAAUAUUCUUUCGCAAAUUCUUUGCGCCUCUUUGUCGAGUUAGAAAGGUUCGGGAUUUGAAUAAAUGAGAUGAGAGAGUGUUCUUGAAUAUAAGCUUUGCCACAACGAGAGCUACUGAAGAAAGAGCUGCUCCUCCUACUCUCGAACCAGGAGUCGCGCAUAUGGAUUAUCUGAUAUUAGAUCGUAUCGUAGAUUCAGAUUAUCUGACAAGGCAAGGAUUGCGCAUACGUUGCCUACCCGAGAGCCCUUGCCAGACUUCCAACCGCUAUAUCUUCGUCCCACGGCUUGCCAGACUCACAUCUUGAACGAAAACAUUCCAUUUGACAUGAGGGACUCCUAACAACACAACUAAGCUAUAGGGAAAGAACUACGCUACGGGAGAGGAUCAGUCUCGAGCAUAGCGAGAGGGAACCCUCACAUCUUGAUGUCAGACCAGAGGUGAGACUUGCCAUAAGUCAUCUAUUGCCUGACGAUGGCAAGCCAGAGCUGCUACGGCUAUAGAGCGUAUAGGAAGUCUAAUUUGAUCUAUGGCUCUUAUGGUUCUGAAAAGCUUUUUUCGAAUGACUGAGACCUUGAAAGAGCUGAGCGUAGAGAUGCGUCUGUCUGAUUAGUGAGUCCUUAUGGCAAUGUAGCUAUGCCAGAGUGUGGGAUUCUGAGCGUUAAGGGAAGCCUCUUGCUCGUCUGAGUGGGAGGGCUGAUGCCGGAUCGUCUGAUCGGAGUUCCUCUGUCCUGAGCCUUGGAUCUAGGGAUGCCCGAGCUCCUCCUGGGACAGAGCGUUCAUGUGCUUGCUUCACACUCUUGGCUACGACAGACAGAGUUGACUAUAGCUGUGCAUGCCAAUGGACUAGCCGAUAGGUAAGGAUAGCGCAUACGUUGCCUACGCAAUACUAUGUAUAGUCGAGUAAGCUAGCGUUCUAUCAAGUCUAGUACGAGGAGGAUCUUGCUUGGUAUACGAUACUUGCUAGACUAUGCAUUGCCAGACUCCGGCAAGACCGAAGAGUGCCACUACGAUAAGUAGAAUUAUGUAAAUACCGAAAAAAACUUGUUGUGGGAGCAGCCAAAAAAGAAGAGACAUUCAUUCAUUGAACGAAAGAAAUUUCGUAAAGUAAUUGAAUUUGAAUUAGGUCGUACCUUGACUCUCUCUGACUAGUGCAUUACAACAAGAAGAAAGCUGCAGGUAUUAAUCUUAGGCAAGAUUGAGGCUAAGACGGGGUUAUUCGCAAGGCCAGGGGCAGUAUCAAAAGAUAUAGAUCCCAGUCUAGAAAGAGAGAUAACUAAUUUGCCAACCAGUGGAAGAGCCUUGAACCCGCCCACUCCUAGGUAGGGUAGUUGGAACAUUUAUUGGCAUUAGUCAACCGGGAAUUUGUCCUCCUCGUAUUUCUCUAUCGACCAAAGAAAGAGAAGGUGCCCAAUCUAAUGCCCUAGUCUAUGUAGUAGCUGCCACCUUUGAGAUUGGUAAACUAGAAGAAAUACCAUCCAAUCCAGGAUUCAGUGCCAUCUGGGAUCCCACGUAGCGGUUGAGUACGACCCACUUUGUGAGUCUUGCAGACGAACGAACUCUUCAACGGGGUUGACUUUGAAGAAGAAAUCGAAAUACAAGGUUUAGCGGGUUGUUCAUCCUUUCCGUGCCCGUGCCCGUGCCCUCCCUAUAAAGCUAGCUUGGGAGGGGCGGAGCUGGCAGAGCCACCAGCGGCGAAGGGAUGGAGGUGGGUAAGAUCAAGAAAUUCCUUUGUUCAUACGUGCCGUAGGUAAAUUCAAUCCAAUCCAGGUUCGUAUGAUGAGGAAAGGGAGGUAAAGAAGCUGGCUAAGAAGAUUGGCUAAUUGGCCAAUCCGUUCCCAGUGACCCAUCUAAUUGAUUCGAUCCAGUGCAGAAAGAAGCGAGUGAGCGGCAACCAAUAUCGGACCUGGCGAAUAUCUGUCUCUCAAUCCCGGGAUGAAUGAAAGGAGGUGCAAUAUUGACCUAACCUCUCCUUCCUUUCUUCACUCUUUCUUUCUUAAUCGAUUUGUUCUCUCUCUUAAUGGAAUUAUCUGAAUCGAUUUAAUCUCCCUAAUCUUUCUUUCUUAAUGGAAUUAUCUGAAUCUCUUGUAUUUCUCGAUUUGAUAGCUUAAAAAGACAUCUUGAUCUAUUUUCUUGUUUAUAUAUGAUAAUCGAUAUCUUUGAUCGAUUGUAUUAAUCUCUUUCCUUUAUCGAUCUUUCUUUCUUGAUCGAUCUGAUAGCUCUUACUCUUAAGCGUAGCGACUCAGACCGCUAGCCUGAAUCAGCUUUCCUUUCAACUUCAUCAGCUUUCCCGGAUCUUUCUUCAUCUGCUUUUCCUACGCGUAGCGACUCUAUCUUUAUUGAGAGAUAUACCCGGGACAGCCUGAAACUCUUUCAGCGUAGCGGUAGCCGAGCGGUGGCUUCUCCCUUGCGGAUUUGGACAGGCUGAACAGGACAGGCCCGGCUCUCGGUCGGUGGGCUUCACCCGCUCCGUGGGUUUUCUGUUUUUCAGCUACGCGUAGCCUUCGAAUAUGAAUCUAAGGGCUCCGUAGGAGUUGAAAGGAGGGCAUUAAUGUGCAAAUGGUGUUUAUGAGUCCUCCGGACGACUCAAAACGAAUCAAUGAACAAGUCAUUGAAUAAAGUCAACUCAGAAUGGAACGAGUUCAAGAGGUCUUCAGACUCCGCUCCAAAAACAAAGGUCCUCAAUUCAAAGUUCAAACUCAAAAAAGCAGCGAAGGACUCAUUCAUUCCACAGGUUCAUAUGGAAUUUCAUGACUCCCAAUGACUCCUACGGAGCCUGAUUUUCCACUCAUUCAAUGCCUGAGGACGGACGGAAGUAGCUCGACCAUAGGAAGAGGGCCGUAGGACCACUCAAACUUAUGCUCCGCUCAUCUCUAGCCUUGUUUUGAUAUACCUUGAAUUCUUCUUCUCUUUAUUCAAUGAUCAUUCAAAGGCGAACUUUCAGUCUUGUCAACGCAUAUUUCAUUGCGCCUUCGUCCGGACGGAGCAAAGAGCGAAAAACUGAUAAUAUCUAUAUAUAAGUCAAGUAGCUUCUUAUCUUAUUAGAAUCAAAUUUCUGAGACCACUUAUUUAAUCAACUUCUUUCUUUCUUCUUAUUCAUGGGAUCAAACCCGGGAUUUUGCGCAUUCAAUGUACUAGUUCUUCUCUCCUAUCUCAUAUUGACAAGAAAUAGAUAGGAAGGAAGGAGGGCUCUCCUAUAAUCAGAGAAGAAUCAAGGUCAUCCUUGCACUCACUCCUUCCCAGUCGCUUCGCGCCUUCGUCUGCUAUAAGAAAGCCUUCUCUAAUCAGAACCGAAUCUCCUUCUCGGCUAAAAGUUAGCAGGAUUGAAACCACCGUCGGAGUAGAGUGCUCCCGGCCUAGGGCCAGCUAGGUGGGGAAUUGCAUUCAAACCCCCAUUUUUUUCACAUGAUUUGGAGUCAAACCCCUCGAGCAUCAUUCCCUUAACUCACAUUCAUUCACAUCAAGAAGCCGACUACGCGGUUCAGAGGUCGUCCUUUGCCGAAGCAUCUUGAUUCCUAUGAGAUUCAGAGUAAGCGCGGGUAGGACGAAGUCCGAAGCUAGCUUCGGAGCAUUAUUAUCCGUUGAGGAAGAAAGGGUGCGGGGCGAAGCAGCUAUCCCAAUACUGAAAGAGGGUCGAUCUAAUUCACCGAGACGGAGAGGGUAGAGAUCUGAAGUACUAUUAUCGGCAGUUCGUAUGAGAUCUUUCUUUCAUAGGUGGAGUUCUCAUCUCGGAUGAGGAAUGAAAAGAGAUUAUUCUAUUUCAAUAGAGUAGCCCACCCUUCCCAAGAGGUGAAAAAGACUAAAAGGAAGAAAGCCCCGAGGUUCGGAGCUGUCAAGCAAUUAUUCUUUUUGAAUAUCUACUCUGAUGAUCAAUACUGCUUUCCCAAGGCAAAUCUAAGAAGUUCAGUCAGAAAAGAGAAGAGUCCUUCCCCGCAAACCCCGUACUCAAAAAAGGCAUUUCAUACUCGACCAGGACUAAAGGGAAUGCUAAACCUUGCAAAUUCUAGAUGGACUCGUGAUAGAAUGCCAAUUGAAGUAAUGAGAGGCAGACGACCAAUAAGGAUUCGGCAAUUAGCUUAUCCCAUAGGAUCGACCUCUCCAGUACCAGUAUCGGAUCCACGGGCCAUUGAAUAAGAGGCAGGGGUAUUCUCUCUUUCAUCAGAGUCCCGGUCGGAACCCCAUCGACCGGGGAAGAGGAUAUAUAUAGGCGAGACGGAGAGGAGACUCGACCAAAGGUUCUUAAGUUCAAUAUUUAAGGAGAGAGAAGAGGAUAUAUAUAGGCGAGACGGAAGAGGAUCCCGAAAGAAAGAGACCUCCACCCUUGAGCAUAACUGAUUAUUUUGGAUUAGUUAUCUUAUAGGUUCAAAGAAUCAAUUGCAGUUUCAGAGGCGGGAAAGGGCCCUUGUUCAUUGAUUCCUCUUUCAUGAUUUCGUAUUCCGUCUUCCAUUGAAUCAUAUCUGAUAUCCGGAAUAUCCUAGAUUCACAAAUCAAAAUUUCUUCUUCUUUCUUCUGUCUUUCUCGAGAAACCUCCGCCCAAAGUGCGAGGUUUAGCCGUCAGUGGACCUAAAUAAAGGUGGACGCUCAGCCGGGGGUAAGAACUAGUUGAGGAAUGAAUAUCUAUAUAGUCUCUCGUUAUAGGAGUCAAUCUGUCUCGGAAUUGCUCAUUCUCAAUGAAUUUUUCUUUCGCAUGAAAAGGAAAUAAUAGAACCGAUAGGGAAUGAAUAAGAGUUAGCAUCAAGGAUCUUUCACUGAGAGUUCGUAUGAUCAGAAGAUCAGACAGGCUAGGCGUAAUUGAGUCGAGUUAGUUUAUUCUCUCGGAUUAUUUGCGGGAGAGAGAGAAGGACUUGGGGAGAGACCGAGUUUGAGUCUUCCCCAUGUUCUCAGUUAAUGAGAGAGUGGUCCAUGCAUUUCAUUCUAAGUUGAGACUGGACUGAAGGUAAAUCAGUACAAUAAGGGAAAGUGCAAUCUGCCUCGGUUUCGGAAGAGGAAGCUCGCCGCCCCUUGAUCAGAAGUUGCUCUGGCCCUGGCCUCUUUAUUUCAGUUCUUGAAUUAAUUCAAGGGAUUCUCCGAUCGGGCUAACCCGCAUUUCAAGACCAAAAGGUUUACAUAACGGAAGGGUAGAUUUUCACUCUCUGUCCUUGAGCCACGGAGUAUAGCAAAUCCACUCCGAUCUUAUGGGCUCACCUUGCCCGCCAUCUCUCUCCUUCAUCUGAAUGGGAUCGUAAAAUAAAGGAUCCGCAUUUCUUUGAAGAUCUCCCAUUAUUUCACUCUGAUUUCCUACAAAAAGGUCUGAAUCUGGGAAAUGGGGAAGUAGUCCUCAAUAAGAAGAUUCAAUCUAUUAGUUGAAUGAUUCUCUGAUCUUUUUCCGCUCGACCUAGUCCUCAUCGGAAUUCUAAGUCGACAGGCACAGGACAUCAAUCGUGACGAACUUAGUAGGGUGAGUCCCGUCUCAGACGAAGGAAGGGCAGUUGAAGGAGAAGUCGGCCCUGUCCCGUGUUCGAGGGAAAGAAUAUUAGCACACACCUCCCCCCUAAUAAUCCUACACAAAAUCAAAGACCGCAGAGUCUUUAGAAGUAGACCGAGUUCGCCUUUAUUGGUCGAAAGAAGAGUAAGAAUUCUCAGUUUAGCUUAUAUUUAUGAAGCGGAUUCUCCGUAUUUUUACCCAUCCCCGUCCUGCCCUCGCAGUAGUCCUUUCUCUUGUUCUUGAUUUGCAUAAAAGACAAGACCAUUUCCCGAACCUCAAUUUCUUUCUUGGCACUAUGCCAACCUAAAAAAGGUUAGAUAUAGGCAGGCGAGACCGUAAAUCUCUCGUACUCCAACUCAGUAUCCUUCCCCGGUCCGGGAAAGCUGCUUGCGAGCCUGCUAUUCGUCGAAUGAAAUACCUCCCCCCCCGAUCUUUUCUAUAUAUUCUUUGCACUCCUGUCCGAAGGACUCGCUCCCCUGCAGAUAAAUGCGCUUGUCUAAUCGACCCUCUUUCUCUUCCCUUUCAUACUUCUUUCUUCUUUCUCUGUCUCAGUCUGUCUUCUACACAGCCUCUGACCUCUACGUCCCCGGUGCGUAGGGCCGAUCCCUGCGAAAGAAAGGAUUUUGGAAGAGGUAGAUUCAUUCAUGAAAGGCAUAUUGAAUUGCGCCUUCGUUCAAUUCCCACGCCAAAAAGAAAGGUCCAGAUGACUAUGAAGGAGGUUCAAAGAAGAUUUCAUUGACUAUUCAUCCUAUUACUUUAAGAGAGAAUGAAAGAUAGUUCAAAUUGUAAUACGAUCGAUAUUACGAUAUCUUGAAUGAAGAAAGAGACUGUAACAAGGUCAGCCUCUGCUUCAAGGGUUCUGAUCCGGGCAAAAGGCAGGAGGAGCCAGGAGUUGUUUAGGAAGGAAUCCGAGACUGGGAAGGCGCAAAGAAUAUUAUAUUGUUGGAAUCAAUUGAUUAAGAAUCUUCUCAAUCCCCUAAUGGAUAGUCAGUCCGAAGGACGGGGGAUUUGAGAGGCGCAAUGAAAUAUGCGGGGAACGUGAAUUCCACCGAAUAUCUUCUUCCUUUCCUCGGAGGCCUUAUAGAUCGUGCUGGUGGGAGUUUGUCCCUAAUCCGGAUAAGGCGCUUUCUUGCUUAUUAAUUAGUCUUUCUUGCUUAUUCAUUCUUUCCACUUCUACUUCAACUGAAUUUCUUUGAAUAAAAGCUAGUUUCCACAGAAAGGGCUACUACUUACUGAUUUUUCUGAAAGAAGAAAAAGAAACUUUCUCCACCUCGGCCGCAACAGAGAUCCCGCAACGGACCACCCUGAUCCCGUAGCUCUAUAUCCUUAGUGGUUAGUGGAGAACAAGUCAAAUCACAUUACUGAAGAGAAGAUUAGUAAAUCAAUGUAACCUACUUAAAGGAAAAGGAAUUUCAUGAUUAUGCCUCCGUCUGACCCCCUCCUGAUUUUAUGGAAUCGGUCUUUUAUCUUAGAUAAACUUAUACAACUCCGUAUAAUUUGCCUUCGCACCUCUCCAACUCAGGAAUCCCUUUCUUCAAGAAAAGAUCGCGCAUCGACUAAGACGAGUAGAUAAAGAAUGGGAUAAAUAAAGAAGUUGUCACGCGCCUUGGUCAAGAGAGAUUGAUCAUUCCCGAUCGCAACUGAAACGGGGACGGAAGGAUUCGAACCUCCUUUGAUAGCGCCCUCACCACCGGGCCACGCCCCAUGACUAAUAUUGAGAAGGCAGGCAUAUUUCUCUUCAUCCUGGUUUGAACAAGUGAGAUUCAAACUUGAGACAAAAGGAAUUCAUCUGCUGACAUCAAUGAACAAGGCUCAAAGAAGAAAGAAGAGAAUGGCGAUCAGUAUUUGAGAAGAAAGAAUAUCCUUAGCUGCCGUGAGUUGCGUGAGAAAGAAAUAAAUAGGAUGAAUAGUCAGAAGGCGCCAUAAGACAGGUCCGAAGGUUCCAUAAGAGGGAUAUUGAGAAUUUGGUCCUUCAUUCAUCAAAUUUCAUUGAUCCUUCGCUCAAUUCACAUCCAUAAAUAAAGGGCUCUAAAAUCAAGGCGGCAAAGAAAAGGUGAAUAUGGGUAAUCGACAAAGGCGCCGGAAAGAUUCCAGCCUAUCUCUUCGCUUCCUUCUAUAUGGAUAAAGAAGUCCUUCGGACGAGUCAAUAAGGUCUUUUUUCGCUCAUCAUAAUCCUCUGGAAAAUUACCUUUGAAAUCCGAGUCCUUUCCUUGCCUUGAGUGAGGGCUUUUCGACCAGCAGGAAUCUCCUGCCGCAGCACUAAGCAGGCUAGCCGCCUAUCCCCCUGGCUCCUAGUGUGUGCCUGAGUGGAAUCCUUGACUUAGUGGAAUGAAUGAGUUUCCGGAGGUCCUCCGUUUUAGAUUUAGAGUCCUACUUCCUUCCAUAUGGAUGGUCCUACUUCGGUUAAUUACGGAUGGUCCUACGGAUAAAUCCUCCGGACUACUUCCUUCCAUAUGGAUGGUCCUACUUCUAAUGGAUAGUCCUACGGAUAAGAAUCCUCCGGACUCCGGACGUAGGAUAAAUCCUGCGGACGUAGGACCCUGGACCUUUCUUUGAUGGUCCUCCUAACUACGGGCUCCUUUGUCGAUUUGCGCGGAGCAGACUGAUUUCUUAUCGUAAGGGCAGUCCUCCCCUAAUUUCUUUUAUGGAUGUUCAUAGAUCCUUGCCUCCAGUUAAGGCUUCUAGCCUUCCUUUCGAACAUAUUAGUGGUCCGAAGGACUUCGGACGGAGAGGGUUCUCCGGACCUUUUUUAUCCACAGAUUAAGCUUGAUAAAUCAGUGUUAAGCUAUUUUAGUGGAAUGAAUGAGAUAUUAGAAUAGCGAAUAGUCCUUCGGACUGGUCUUGGUCUCUUUUUCUCUUGCUUCGUAGAUUAGCAUAUUUCCGCAAUAUUCUUUGCACCUGGUUGGGUUGGGAAAGCUUCCUCUUAAGUAUGACUAGAGAUCUUCCCUAUCCCGCCGAUCAAAGAAUUGAGUUAGCAUUCUUCUUUCUUCUAUUCUAAUAGAGUGAUUUGUGAUUAUUGACUUGCUCGCUUCGCCACUCUCCCUCUUGGCUGCUUCGAGCCUGUCCUGAGAAUGAAAGAGGAAGUCUGACUUCUGACUCCCGAGCCUCCUCUGCUGCUUAAACUGUCCUCUCCAACUCUUUCUCUAGCUUAGCUUCCUACAAAUCCCCUAAUGGAUAGUCCUUCGGACCUGUCUCGCAAUAUCCUUUGCGCCUCGCAAUAUUCUUUGGGCCUCAGUAGCUUAAUUCAGAAAGUCAAAUCCCAUGAUUCCUGCUACCUGCCCCUUUAAAGGUCUAGCUUCAGCAACAGAUAAUUACCUUGAAGCCGAAAGAGGGACGACUGGGACGAGGGAUUCCUUUGAUUAUGGAAGGAAGGAGGCUCCUAUCCGGUAUCGCUUUCAGUUACUCAUGCGAAGUGGAAGUCUUAGAGUUCCCUUGAACAUAGUGAUGAUCACUCUUAUUCUCUUAUUAUGCCGCUCCCUCUUCUCUCCGCAAUAUUCUUUGCACCUCUUCUCGUCCUUUGGAACCUCUCCGUCUCUUUUUAGUACUUCCUGCUUGCUGCUUUCCCGCCGAUGAAGAUGAAUUGGGAUUGAUUGAUAUAGUGCAAAUUGAGUUCUUUAUCAAUAGCCCUAUUCAGACCGCUCCGUGGGACCUAUUGGUAUAGCAGUUCAACUCCUUCCCGGUUAGCAGCUUUCUUUGGAACCUACUCUGAUGAGACUGAUUCCGAUGAUCCCGUAGUAGGUCGAGCCACUAUUUUUGCCCUUUCUUUUGAGUGAUUUAUUCCGUACCUAGGGAAGUCUUCCGCUUAUUAUGCUGGUACCUCGCCAACUCAGUUUAGACGUUCCACUCCUUGCUACUUUGCUCCACUUCUAACCCGGAGGGGGCGGUCUUAGUUCACGCUUGAGGCUAGUCUCUAGCUCUAGCUUGUUGGGUCGAGCGGUCCCUCUGUAGGUAAGUAGGUCGAGCGCCUUUGUCCCUGAAAGGUUGAGGUAGUCUUUCCCUUUUAUAGAGUGAUUGCUUUGCUCCCUCUUCUGUGAUGAUUCUAAACGGAGACUUGAUCUUCCUCGUCAAGGAGCAUAACUCAAGAUUAUGCAGCAAGGGGACUCCCAUUGGUAUCGCUUCCUCGAGAUCCUUACCUUUUUCAAUGAAUGGAAGAUGCAAGAACAACUGAAGCGGGUGCCUGUCGGCCUACUUUACCUUCUUUUUCCUGUGAAUUUGAUCCAAUCCAAGGCGGAAUCCAUCCCAGAGUUCUUUCUACAAAAUAGCUAAAAUCAAAGCUCCAGAUGAGUUUCAGUUCAAAGAAAGGAUAACCUUUGACGAAGACCUUUCCGAUCAUUUGGCCUAAGGCCGAUUGAUCUAUUUUCUAUCCAUCCACUAGUGUGACAAAGACAGAGAUUUGACUCCUGCUUCCCAGCAAAAUGCUCAUUCAAAGGAGUAAACGAGGAAAUCGGGAUCCUUUUCUCUGAGAAGGAAGACCAUACUACAGACCGCCCGCUUAGGGGUUGGCGCCGUAGAGCAGGAGGACGGUCGAUCUUUCGUUAUCGGGUGAAUCUUGAAGUUCUCAUUCUCUCUUUCGAGUCAUUGGAGAGGCGCGAAGAUGCUCGACCGGUUCUAAUCGUAUGAUCUCUUUAUCAUGGCACAGAUGCAUUUGCUUGGGCGCAGCUGCUCAAGAAAAAGUGCUCAAGCUUUAGUGUAGAACAUUGUCUGAAGAGCUCACUGAAAGGGAUAAGACUUUCUUCUCGGAGAAGAAGUGAACGAGACCCGUAGCUUACUCCAGCGGGAGCAAGACGGACUGGGGCUCUGAGAGUUCCAGCAUAUCCAAGCCUUAGUGGAAUAAUACGUUUUUAAGUGGAAGGCAACUCAUAUUACAUUGAGCCUGCAACUGUGCCCCGCAUUUAGCCUUACAGUCGAGCCGCUUUCGCUCCAGGUGCUCAGGAAAGUUCGGAGACGGAUGUAGCUUCUUAAUAUGGAAGAAAGUUAAGCUUGAUAAAGUCCUUAUAAUGUCUAAUCUUUCUCUGGGUCCUCCGUUUUAGAGUCCUACGGAUAAAUCACCUGGACCUUUCUUUGGCACUUGCAAAAUCUAGUAUUUUACUCCUCCCACAAAGAUGCACAUUUUUCAUUCCCAUGUUCCGUCCGAAGGACUUCUUUAUCCAUUAGUCGUUAAUGAGCACUUGAACCUGUCUUUCUCAUUCGCAUACCGAUCAAGAAAAGCCUCAGCUACUGCUUCCCUCAACGGCUUCUGAUCCUUAACUCAGUCGAGCAGCUUCAACAGCUUUUUAUGGGAAUUCAGACUCUUCCUCUUCCGCCGAGACGGCUUCCGGAUGGAUGUCUUCCCUUGUAUUGUAAGAGCUUUUUUCUGCUUUCUAGUUCACAAGAGGAGGACGAGUGAUUCAGAGUUGUCUUCCUUGUCUAAAUUCCGAAUUCCGAAACUUGAGAAGUUUAGCUAGGUCAAUAUUCUUUGAACCUUUGGUCGUCUAACCUCAGUAAAGCGGCUUCCCACCUCUCCCGAACGGAGCUAGCUAAAGAGUUUAUUCAAUCUACUACCCCUUUCUCAGAUACGACUUAUUUAGGAGCGAACGAUUCUAUCACGCUCGCUAAGAGGAAUUCAAGAACCCCACCACCAGGAAGGGAAUAAGAAGUAGUACUGGUGGUAGCAUUGGAAUGGAUCGCUUUUCCCGAAUGGAUAAGUCUCGCUUUCUCUUUCAUCCACUUGGGCACGACGACGAAGAUCUAGAGAAAGAUCGGAUCGUUCAUUCAAUUCUAUACGUUAUUCGCGAAUUGGCUUUUCACGCGUAGAAGGACGGAGAAGGCCUUUCAUGAAGGGCAGGACUCCGUAGUCGAUUUGUCAAUAUUCUUUGAACCUCCUACGCUCCUGAUUAGUCUUAUUCCUUCUAUUUUAGUAGGCUCCGGAGGCUGCUGAAUGAAUUCAGUCUUUACUUGACUAUUUUUAGAUUACUAAAGUAGGUAGAAGGAGCUAGAAUAUCCCUGUCUUAUGGAACCUCUCGCUUGGAAAAAGAACCUUGCCCUAGGUUCUUUCUUUAGAGGAUAGGCUUUGAUUCUUUUUCUGCAGUCUUUUUUAGGCGGAAGGCUUCGAUCUUGAGUCUGAGUAGGUCUUCCAGUUCUUUCUCUAGCAUAAGUCGUUGAAGUAGGAAGAGAAGUUGAUCUCGCAGAAAGCCGCUCGGGUAGAUCCGCUUUACCCUUUCAAUAGGGAUCCAUCAAUCGUACGCGCGAACAAAGCUAUCCAGGGGUCAGAGCCUCAACCGCAGAAUAAGCAGGGGCGAGGUGCAAAGAAUAUUGCGGAGAGGAGUUGAGCGGCUCGGGGCAGGGGAAUCCGCAGUCACAGUUGCGGCUUAGGCAGGACGCCCACGGAGCGGACGAGUCCUUUCUCUUUGUCUUUCUUUCUUAAGUGGAAGUUCUGGAUAAGUAGCGUCAUGUUCGGGAAUGAGACAAAUCUCUGAAAAAUCAGUUUCCUUAUCACCUUGGAUUUUCCUCGCCUUCUUUCUACCUCGUUAAAAGUCAGGCUUUUUGCCUAUAGCUCGUAUCAACAAUUUCCGAUUUCAGAACAACUAGAGCCACUUCUGCAACAGCUGCUACCGAUCGAACAAGAACUAGAGCUGAAACAAGAACAAAAGCGACUGCCGAUCCCCGGUGGAGCUGCGGAUGAGACUACUUCUGACCUUCCUUCUCCUUCAACCGAAAGAUGAACCGAAAAUCUUCUUUGAACCUCGACUGAAUACUUCAACCGGCCCAAGAGCCUACUAAAAAGAGGGUGCCGAGACAGAUUCCUAUCUUACCGCAACUGAUCUGCCUUCUUCUUUCAGUUACCUAGCGGAGAAUAUAAUACGAACAGAAAGAUCUCAUGAAACUCCUAAGGAGUAUAUCCCCUCUCCCUAUCGCAGCCUCUUAAUCCACCAACAGCAGUUGACUCAAGAGCAGCAGUUAGACUCUUUCUCAUUCCUUUUGUUGUGACCUUAGCGGAACCUAGCCCUUUUUCAUUGAACUCUUUCCCCCUCCUUCAGCAUAAUCUAUAUUGCUCAAGAUUCACCGAAAAUCUUCAACUCAAUUCAUUCAGCCUGUCUUAUGGCGCCUACGCGGUUCAUUCCCCUUAUCAAUGAGACGGUAGAUUCAAUAUUCUUUGAACGUCCUUCGCGGUCUUCGCAACUCAAAUUGCAUUGAGCCUUCUAUUUUUCCUAUUUAGUGGUCCAAAGGGCUCAUCUGGAGCUUGAUUUUAGGAGCGAAAGCGGCUCGCCGACGAUAGGAAAUAGAGGCGGAGGCGCAAUAUUGCGAGAGCCUAACGGUCAAUGAAAUAUGAGAAGAUUACAUUCUUUCUUUUUGAACCGGAGCGGAAUAAAGAAUAGACCUCUCAGUAUCCGUCCGUAGGACUAUCCAUUAGAAAAGUUUGAACAAACUAUGUGAAUUUCGAAAAUCAAAUAGGACAAUGCCUUGCAAUUUCCCGGCUUUUUUGCUUCUUUUUCAUACUUUCUCGGUUUUCUCUAAAUAACGAAAAUUGUCUAAUUUUGACUGAUUUUUCAUGAUUUCUUGCUACUUCCCUAUGGGCAAAACCUAGCAAAAUCAUGUAUUUCCCUCCGCGGAUUCAUCUGAAAUCUAGCUCUUCAAUCUCCCUCUUUCUUUUUCAUUCCCAUUUUUUUCUUCUUUCAUUAUCGUUAAUGAGUUCAUUCUUCAGCACUUUCUCCUAAUUUGUAAACUCGAAAUCUGAAAAGAGCCUUUCUUCUUUUCCGCAACUCAUAUUGCAUUGAGCCUCACUAUGAUCCUAACUAUUCCUUGCUCCUCCGGAGGGAUCAUGACUCUUUGAUUUUAAUGGAUAAACAAGUCCGGAGGACGGGGUCCAUCUGAGUCAGAAACCGCAUCUUUGCAACCUUUGGGAUCAUGACUCUCAAAUUUCUCGCAAUAUUCUUUGCUCCUACAACUUCGGAUAUUGAUCAAAGAAUUAUCUAUUAGAUCCAUUGAAUUUCUGGAAAUAAGGCUCAAAGGAUGGAUAUUGAGAUGAGAUUCUUUCUUUUUGAUUAGUAGGUUUAGAAGCGUAGGAGGACGUAGAAGUCCCAUAAAAAGCCCUUGUUCAUUGAUUGCGCUCUUCUGAACUGAUAUUCGCUUCGCCGCAAUAUUCUUUGCACCGGCUUACGCUUGAUUUUGAAAUAAGCUUCCGUGACACAGCUCUUCUUCUUUUUUCUUCUUCUUCCCUAUUCAUACUCAGCAGCUACGGAUGGGAUGCCUAUUCCUCACCUAGGAGUGGGACGGGUCCAACCCUUCUUAUUCAGUUACCGAUGUUACCGAUAAAACUACAUCUGGGAAUUCAGAAAAAAGAAAUGAAUGAUCUUGAAAUUACCAUGGUGGAAUCAAAGAUGAACAAGAAAGUCAGUAGUUGACCCACUGAUAUAUGGCAUUCAUUCCCAACUCAAUUCACAACGAGCGAAGGAAGAAAGCAUCCCAACCCAACAAAGACAAAGGAUGAAAGAAAGAGAGAUCUCAUCCGAGAUCACAACGAAUGAAAUGGCAUUCCCUAUUUAUCUCAUUCUCUAUUUCUUCAGAGAGUAAUGAGAAAAAUCAUAAGUUCAGAAGAAUCAGAAAGCCGGAGGCUGGGUCAAGCGUAGUGGGAGUUCUUUCCUAGCCGAAUCAUAUCAAUUCCGAUUCCAUCAUCUGAUAGAUUCAAUACUCAUUAGACGGGUGUCAGGGAAUCCAUCCCAAAUAGGAAGGACGAGACCGGAAGCAUCCAUCUUUCUCUUUCAGCUGUGAAGGUGAAAGGGGUUGCAGUCGAUCUUUCUCUUUUUCAGUUGCGUUCGUGCUCCUCUUGCACGGUUCUCGCUAUCCUACUUGUUCAUUAGAAUAUUAUAUUAUUGAAAGAACUUCCCGCUCUGUGGGCUUUUGGGACUGAAGUGACUGAAAGAGCGGAUUCACAGUUCCAUUAGUGAAAGACCCUGUCGAUAGAGUGAGAGUCAAAAGGUCUCGAUAUGAAGACGGGUUUCCUAGGGUGCUCUCUCUUCCCUAUAGUAUUCUACAUCAAAGAGAAAAGAAGAAAGUGCUCUACCUCACCCGGGCAGGGGAAGGGCUAGUUUCAUAACACAUUCGUUAUUGAAGACUCCUAAUCCGACCCUCGUAUCCGCUAUCUGCGCUUCUAUAUCCUCGAUUCUCACUCUUCUUUUCUGAAUUCCCCGCUACGUGGGAGCUCCAUAUCCAUAUUAAUAAUGUCUUGAGGCUAGUCUCUUACUGAGAUAGCUUCCUUCCCUUGCUGGGGAUGGAGAUUCCACCACUAGGUCGGUUCUUAGUUCUACUAAACUAGGUCGCUAACCGAUGCCGGAACUGAGAAUGCUGUCUGAACUUAUUCAAUUAGCGCUACGUGGGCUAAAUCCGAGUAAACAAAGCCUCUCGACCCUACCGAGUAUCUGAGUGAGUCCUUCUUUCUAGCUUCCCUGUAGAGCAUUUCAUCCAAUGCGCCUUUCUUCCUUCCCUUAUUCAGGAAAUUACGUAAUAACAAAGAGGCUUAGCACGGUGGGGAGAUUAAUAUGGAAUUGACUUCUUUUCUUAACUUAAAUAAGCGCUUUUCCACAAGAAAAGAAAGAAGGACUGCGCCUGUCUUAUGGAGCCUCUUACCGGUGCGAGAAGGAUCGGAAGCGAAGCGACUCUUAAGUUAAGGAGCGCAAAUCAACUCCUCCGCUCCUACUCCGACUAGAAACUGAAAGUCGAAAAAGAAGAAAUUCACUCGCUCGGUAAGAAAGCUGAUAAUGGGCAAGAUCUCCGGAAAGGCUCUUAGUAAUUAUUGAGGAAUCCAUAAAGAAAGUUUUAGGAUAGGCGAACCUUCUUGAAGUUUCUCUAAGAAAAAAGACUAAAAACCCACUACUAAACCUACUAUUUCUCAUCAAGCCUAUCCUCUCCUUUACCUUCUUUGAUGGAAGUUUUGGAGGAGUUGAACCCAUGAAUUCACACACAAGCUAAAGAGUCGGGGUCGGUUAAUAUAAUAUGGACCUAAUCUCAACGCAUAUUUCAUUCCGCCUUCGCAUAUUUCAUUCCGCCUCCGUCCGGAGUCCGGAGUCCUACAGAUGAAUCUUCCGGACUAUCCAUAUGGAAGUAGGACCAUCCGUAAUUAACCGAAGUAGGACCAUCCGUAAUUAACCGAAGUAGGACUAUCCAUUAGAAUAGAACUUUGCACCUUCUAUCAAAUUCGUGAAUAUGGAUGAAUGAGUCCUUCGCCUCAAUGAUUUUGGAGGCGCAAUUCAAUAUGCGUUGUUGUACUUAAAACAGUAUUUAUUAGGUCGUCUUCUAAAUCAUUAACACCUUUAGUCUUUACAUAGUUUUUCAAACUGGAGGCACUACAUCAGACUCGUCCUACGCAUUUUAUAGAGUUGUCUUUCUUCUUUCUCUCUUGUUUUACUACGCGGUAAAGAAUCAUCAAAAUUCAUGUAAUAGUCUUUCUUAAUAUGGAUAGUCCGGAGCCUUCGGAGCGGAGGCAAGGAAUAAGACUCCUACUACGGGGAGCGCAAAGCGACAUAGGAGUCCUUCGGACGGGCUAAAAGAAGAACUGCUAUGGGUGCUGCGGAUUCCCCAGCGGGUGGACAAGAGGGGAGGGGCUGUCCCAUUGAAUAAGAGUCAGAAUCCACUAGGGUCACAUCAUCCAUCUCGGGAAGGUAAGAGGGAAGGAAUCUUUGAAGGUUGAAGAGGAUGUGGAACCUUUCAUCUGCAGCAUGAGAUGGAUUGAUUUACGAUGCCUUUCUGGGGAGGCCGUCCCUCUUAAUGCUGAUCAGUCAUCCUCGAGGAUCAGUUGCGGCCUUUCCUUCUAUGGGGUUCUCUUUUUGACUUGGAAAAAGAUAUCUCGCCUAGUCUCGACCUUUAGAGUCAUCUGGACCUUUGUUUUUGGGACUUCUUUAUCCAUAUUCACCCUUUCUUUGCCUUGGCCGUGUAGUGGGGAUCUCUAGCUAUCGAGCUUUCCGAACUCAUACUCAAACCUUUCGCCUCAACUCCUUGGUCUAUAAUGAGGCUUCCCAAGAAUCUCAUUCCGAUUUGUUAACGAAAGACCUAUAAGUACCAGUAAAGGAUCUCCUCUCAUUUUCCUGAAUUAGGAUAAAGCCUAGUACAAUACAAAUCCUGCCCCGGGAACCGGGAAUUAGCAAUCUUUGAAGGGAAGAGAGGAAAGGAGCAUCCCGAUCUCAAGAUCGAAGGAGAGCCAACUGUUUACAGGAAAGGAAGUUGAAAGAGGCAUGGUACGAGAGGAAAGCCUCACGGCCAAUUCAGCUAAGUGUCAAAGACCGUUGACAGCUACUGCUAGUCGCAAACCUUCUCUUCCGAAAGAACCUAUUUGCCCACUGACUUUCAGCUCUGUAAAAGAACCCAUCCUCUUAUCAUUUCCUCUUCCUAUUUCUUAUUUCUUAGAAUGAAUAUUUCUUGAUGCACCUAUGUAUGCUAUGGAUUCAGAAAAGAAAGGAUGAAGAGAAUCUGCGAAUGAAAGUGAAAGAAGAAUUUACUCAUUAACGAGAAUUCACUGAUUAAGAAGAAUCCACAGUCCGAAGGCUCAAUGUAAUAUGAUUUUCCGCUUUGUUUUUCCGAAGGACCAAGCUUUUUUUACCGCUCGCAAGUCAAAUUCUCUAAUGGAUAGGCCUCAGCUUGAUUUCUGUUAGAAGGUGGGCUUUCUUCUUCUCAAAUACUUUGAGCCUCGGACUAUUUCUCAAUCUUAGACCGAUAAAAGAUCUUUUUUGACUGAUUUUUUCUCUUUGUCUUUCUGCCUCUUUCUCUCCAACUCACUCGAGCCGCUUCGGUCCUCUCCCUCUAUCGGCGGCGAGCCGCUUUCGCUCCUCUCCUUACAGUCGAGUUCCUUCUAUCCUCUGGUCGAGUGGCUACGCUCCUCUCACCCAGCGCAGUGAUAGUACGGACUUUCUUUCUGGUUUGUGACUCUUUUCAAGCAAUAAGAAGAAUUACCGCUACGUGGCUUUCUUUGUGGCUUUUUCUUACUCCAGACAAGAUGGGUACAGUGGCUCGACUUUAUAUUAACUAUCGUCUUCUCAAAUUCCCUAAUGGAUAGUCCUUCGGACCUGUCUUAUGGAUCCUUUGAUUCUUGUUCACUAAGAGUUCUUUCUUCAAGAGUCAGAUCGGUGCCAUGAGGGAAUGCUAAUUGAAUAGAGAUUCGGCUUAGUAAGCCUUUCCUCGUUCGCUCCUCGUACCUUUACAUCUUCCUAUGAUUGGUUAUGCGAGCAGGCCCCUUCCUGUUUACUAAGUGGUCGCCUUGUCUUAUACUUUGAGACUUUGUUGACUCUCUUUGAAUGAGUUCUAAGGUUGGCGGGAGCUCUUCCCUCCCCUUACCUGAUUUUUCAAGAAAGGGCUGAAAGAAAAGAAAUCUCUCGAAAGAAAGAAGAGGGUACCGUGGAAGAUGUAAAGACAAUAAGCAAGGGGCACUAGCUGGUAGCGGGCUCUUAAGGGUUACCAUCAAAAAUCACUAUCCUCCACUCCUAUUGAAGACAGAAAACCUGCCCGAUUGGGAGAGGGAUGAAAUAGCUCGACCGUAGGGAGAGGGAUGAAAUAGCUCGACCGUAGGGAGAGGGAUUCUUCUUUCUUCUUUAUAGUAGGUUUGUUUAGAAGAAGACUCCCAGAAAGAGAAAGCCUAGCGAAGGGAAGCGACUGGAAAGGAGUGCAGAGUGCAAGUGCAGGAAAUAGCUUUCUUUGAAAGGAUGGGAAAUCGAGGUAGUCCUUUGCUUAAGACAAUGGUUGAGUACAAAGACGAAUACCUUCUCCUCUUACCGGUAAGCAUCUCUUUUCUUAAUUGGCCUAUAACCACCCCUUGUUCAUUGAGGCGGGAGAGAAAGCACUCCACCUCUUCGGGAGAGAGAGCACCAAAAGCGAAAGCGGCUCGACUUAUAGGAGAACAAGCGAAAGCGGCAGUUCGUCUUCUUGAAAAAGGAGAAUUGGUAAGCUCUUUCAUUCGAUCGUCACACCAGUCCGGAGUCAAAUAUUAGUGGAAAACAAAGGUCCAGGUGACUCUACCCUAUUUAUUGAGACCCCACUCCGCGGUUCAAUUCAAUAUUCAAUAUGAAAGGAGCGGGAUCCUUCCUCUUUAUAGUAGAUUUGGAAGAGAGCAGAACUAUCCACUGAAAGUAGAAAAGGUCAAUGGAAGUCCUCUUCCUUAAAGACUUUUUAGUAGGUUCUUUCAAUAUUCUUUGAACCUCCGGCUUUCCCCUUUCUAGUAGAAUAAUAGGAUAUUUGAGUAGAACUCCUCCGCUCCUACUCCGACUAUCCACUGAAUGUGACAAGAGAACUCCAGAAGAUAGGCUUUCCCCUUUCUAGUAGAAUAAUAGGAUAUUGGAAGUUUCAGUUCGGAAUGGAUCUCGCAAUAUUCUUUGCGCCUUCUAUAUAUUCUUUGCACCUCUGAAUUUCAUGCGCUUCCCUUCUCAUAUUUCAUGGAACCUUAUUGCAGACUUCACAUUCUACUUUGUCUCUUCUUUCUUUGUAUGUAAUUUAAUAGUCUUUGUCAUUUGCAGCCCUCCUUUUGAGUCUGUUCAACUCAUCCUGGAGCUUUAUUUUGAAUUGACUUUCUUCCUCUUAUCUUAUUCUACAACUGAUGAAUUUCACGACUCAAUGAAUUCAGCCUCCUUCUAAGAAAAAAGCCUAGCCCAAAAGUCACUAAAAAAGACUCAAGAAUAUCCCUGUCUUAUGGCGCCUCACAGUCCAUUCAAAGAAGCCCACGGUAAAGAAGUGAGUUACUCAACUCUGAAUCACGAUACGGAGCGGUGCGAGUCAGCUCUUCCCUUGAUGCUGAGGAAGCUGCAGCUGCAGGUGCAGCUCUUUCUUCAGUUUAAGUUCUUGUCCUUGCUUUAAGUGGUUGAAGUAGAGGAUGCGUCAUCCGUUCUUCGAUCGAUCGGAUCGCUAGAUCGUCAGGCUAAAAUCAAGCCUUCUUUCUUCAUUGAUUGACUUUUCCAAACUAGUUUUCUUCUCGAAUUGACUACUCCUAUUCUUUUCAAAGUCAGAGCUCUCUCGCAAUAUUCUUUGCGCCUUCAAAGAAAGGUCCAGGUGACUAUCCGCAUUAACAUUAGAUUGGACCGUAUUUAUUAACAAGCAAGGGAAGGAUGUAGCGAACGAUGUAGCGUUUACGUUUAGGCCCAGAAUCAGAAGAUCAAGAAGCUGCCGAGGGGGGUCUUGAAUAUUGAGCUGCGGGAAGGACUUGUAGAGUUGCUCAGCCUGCGAGACGGGUGUCGGAAGAGGAGCCCACGUAGCGGUGAAAGGGCUGUAGCCGUUGCUGCGGAUAGGUCUUCUUUUUUCAUUCUUAUCGUUUUAGUCAUCCAUCCGUAAGCAUGAGUCUGAGUCUAGAGGAAGAAGCCCCCAACGGAAUGAGCAACCGCGGAGUGGGCAUCGGGUAUCUAAGGAUGAUUUCUGAACAUAUGAAGUAAUUACCGGAUCGGGGACGGACGGACGCGCCUCCCACUAGAUCUCUUGGCUUUCAACUCCCAAUGUCUGACACUUCCUUUUUCCCGGAACAAACCGAAGAUGAAGAAGGGGUCUGGCUUCUUUCUAUCUCUUUUUUUGAUGAGACCUCUCCCGCUCCGUGGGCAUUGAACCGAAGGUGCAAAGAAUAUUGCGGCUAUUCUAAUAGAUGUUCGAUUGGGAAUCUUUGCUUUCUGCCUUCAUUGUAUUCUAUUCUUUUAUCGUUUUUCAAUGAAUUGAGAAUCCUUUGUUUGCGGUCUUUAUCGAUGCUAGUGCAAAUAUCGUCCUAUUGAGUGACUGCCUAAGAAAGAGAAGAUUCAGUUUGUGAUCCACUCAUUCAGAAGAAGCAUUCCAAACUAAUGAAAGAGGAAAGUCAACAUCGGGAAGUGGACGACCCAAAGCAGAGGCGACCCGCAGAGGCAAGGGCAUUCGAUCUUGAGGCCCACUACGCGCUUUCGGCUGGAUAAGUUCGUCUUGGUAAGCUGAAAGGCACUCGUCGGCAAAAAGCCUAAUCUUUCACUCUUCAUAUCACAUGGGAAAUACGUGGUCAAUCUCAAUCCGGGUUAAAUGCCUUACCCGAGGGGCACUACUGGAGAGCACUUUGGGCCGUAGAAGGUUUUUAUGAUUUACUUGACUAUUAAAAGAUUACUAUCUACGAAGGAGCAGUCUUCUUUCUCUUUGUCUUUCCGCCUCUUUCACACUUCUCCAACUCACUCUUUCUCCUCGGCCGGAACAACUACCGCCACUGCCUCCUUAUCAGCUGCAACUGCAAGGGCCCGCCCUAUCCUAAACAGUUCAUCCCAUAAGAGAGAUAGAUAGUAUUUCAGAGAACAAACUGGAUGACGUGGGAAAGGGUGGUUGAUCCCCUUUCCCCCUCUUGUGGCGUCAACGACCCUAUCUUAGUCUGCUUCGCUCCUCUGCUGGUAUCAACUAAAGGAGGAUUCGCCCUACAAUAUCCCUGUCUUAUGGAUCCUCAGACGAAAGAAAAAGACUACUUUCAGAAAAAAGGGUAGAUUCUUCAUUCAUGAAAGGCAUAUUUCAUUGCGCCUCCUUCGGUUCAAUUCCCACGCCAAAAAGAAAGGUCCAGAUGACUCUUCCUUGCCGUAGGGUCGACUUCAUCCAUUUUCUUUCUUAUACUUUUGAAGAAAAAUUCUCAUCAUAAUAAGUAAGGGCUUUGCCCUAACAACAGCAUCCCUUCUUCUUACUGGCUUUCUCUUUCUUUUCUCUACUAAGAGUAGGCGUUGGAAACGACACAUCCUAUCCUAGGAGAUUCAUACUCUCAUUCUGAUUCACGAAAGAAAGAAAGGGAAAGGGCACGAGAGCAGGAAGCAUCACAAAGAGAAAAGGUUCGACGCAAACAGAUAGGUUGUGGGACUAAUAUUCAAUCUCCUCCUUCUCCGACAUCCCUUUCACAAUCCCAGUCAAAUCGAAAGGCGGCCCCACGGAGCGGAAAGAGAUCUCAUGAUCUAUAAUGCAAGCAGAGAGCCACUUCUGAAACUGAAACUCCAAGAUCUAAUUCCCUGUUGUCUAACUCCAACUCAGCCGCAACUGAAAGACCCGUCUUAUUGAGGAAUUCCCCCUGAGAACAGUGACUCAUGAACUCCUAACCCGCUCGAGUGGCUUUUUAUUGGAUUGUUCCUGCGCUUUCUUUCUUCCUAUAUAGGCGGAUAACCUAUCCUACUAAGACUUCCGCCCCCUCUCCUUCUCGUGAUCGUACUUAUUCCUAUCUUAUGAAAUUACUUCAACUAUAUGAUACCCGCUCGUAAGUAAACUAAGUCAACUCCUUCGCGCCGAUACAGAAAGAGAGAAAAAAGACAAAAGAGAUGACUGAAGCUUAAGAGGUCUUUGCCCUCUCGUAAGAAGACUUGAGUGCCUUCGCCCCUUUCUAUCUCUUCCUAUUCUGAAACUCUUAUGAAUGUGAAUGCAAUACCUGAAUAAGAUUUGAGACUAGGGAAAGCCUGAAUGAGACUGGGCCGGGAGCUUGUAGGUCCAUUUGCUUAAGACAUGAGGAUUGUACAAAUAGACUCAGAUCUCGCCCAUGGAUUGUCUCACUCCGAUCAUUCUUUGAGCCUUUAUAUCCCGACUGAUUUAUGGAAUAUAGACUUUCCUUGGCCUUCCUCUUCUUCUUGAGUGAAUCGGAAAUUCUUCUUUCUUCUAGCCCUAUUUAUUUAUGGAUGUUCAUUGAGGCGGAGGACUCAUUCAUUGAUCUUUUUUUAUGGGUCUCACUAUCAUUCCCUGUCUAAGGAAACAUCGACUGCUUUUGUGACUCAUUCGGAGUUACUCUUUUUCUAGCUUCUUCGGAAACUGAGAUGGCGUCCGUCCUACUCUCUUCUUGCUUGAAUUCUGAAAGAAUGGUUGGUUGGUGACCGCUUCGAGAGAGAGAUGGAAUUUCUUACUCUUGAAGGUGCUCUACCCUUUUUUCCUUGUUGAGAUAUUCCACCAUUCUGAUGGUCCCCCGGCUCCUAAUUGAGUUCGAGAAGAUAGGAGAUGCAAAUUGUCCGAGGUUAAGCUGCUGAAAGACAAAGAAUUUCCUUUCAAAGAAUGAAUGAAAGGAAGACCUUACCGAGUGCCGUUGCAGGAUAAGUUCUUUGCAAGAAGGAGACCAACUGCCCGAACAAGUUCCAUAAAUCAGUCCUUCAAAGUAAUAGCUAUUAAGACUCAUUCCCCGUCACCUGUCCCCUUAUAAUUGUUCUUUGCGCCUUCGGUCUUAAGACUCCUUCAAAUUUCAGGCAAAGAAUAUUGCGUGGGAAUUGGAGUGCAGAGUGCAAAGAAGACGGAAAAGGAGAAGUGCAAGUUCAAUCAGACGAUCAUCCUCCUUCUCCGGGCUGGGUCGGAGCUAUCAAAAAGAAUAAGUAGGGCGCGGUCUGGGUAGAUAUAUGCUUUCCUCUAACCUCAGAAGCUCUAUUUAGGUCAAGCCUUAAAGUAGGAUCGACCGGAUUUGAAUGUUUUGAAUAGUCUAUCUAAAUCCUAAAAUCAGGCUAUUUCCUAAUAUGGAAUAUCUCGAACGAAAUAGGGCAGUGCCAUAAGACCUCUCCCUCGGAAACAGAUAAUUCCGCUAAGCCAGGAGAUUCCUCUCUUUCAAGGGAAGUAGACGCUCCAGUAGAGGCCAUACGUAGCCGAAAAAAGACAACGAGAGGAUCAUCAAGGAAAGACCUUUAUCUUCUAGUUCGCUCGGAAAGCUCUUUUUCUAAAUCAUGGUAGCGAGAUAUGUCAAUCAAAGUCAAUACAGAAAUCGGCUUAGGCCUUGUUGGUAUCGCGGUUGCAGGCUAGGCUGUGGCCCUUCAAGGUAAGUAGAAAAAGAGAAGAGACGGAUUCCGUUCUUAUUCAUUCGAUGCGGAAAGACUUGAACCCGUGACCCGCUCCAGGCCUCGCUCCCGAUUGAGGGGUUACCCAUUCGGUUGACUCUUAACGGAAUAACUCAUUUGGUUCAACUUCUAAUUCCAAGUCAGACUUCCCAAGAAGAUGACUCUUCGUCUUUCGCUUUCAGGUACCUUUCUUCUCGUGCAAGAUCUUACUCAUUAGUUAUUCAAUGGAGGAAUCAGGAGUCGAGCUACUUCCAACCAUAUCUACUUGGCCGACGACCAUCUGCUUUCGGGGCGGGUCUUUGACGGGUUUCCGGGGGAAUAAAAAGAAGGAAGUUUUCCAUGAAAUCAAAGUCAAUUGGGACAUAAGCCUUUUCAGGCGAUACUGAAAGAAGAAAUCCAGCUACUUAAGAAAGAAGAAAGGCAACCGCGUAGUGGGUCACACCAGCUCCCAAAUUAGCUGCUCUAUAUAAGAUAAAGAAUGCAAUUCUUCACUCACUUUAGUCACUCAUAAUAGACUGGGAGGAGAGGAAAGGUUCUAUCUAUCGGGAGAUAGUGCUUUCUAAGAAGAAUCUGGCUACUUAAGAAAGAAGAAAGGCAACCUACUAAGCAGGUCUCAGCGUAAACAGCGGGGAUGGUGCGUGCGCGCCCUCUACUAAGGCCCUGUCGAGGAACCUCAUUCUUCCUUUUUCUAGUCCUCUCAACUGAAGACGGAGGAUAUAGGGCCUUGUGAUUCAGCAGAGGUACGGAGUAGUGUGAGAGAAUCAAAGUUCCCCUCGAGCUAGCAUUAUCAUUCCUCUUGUCCUUGUGGAGGUAUGGAAUUGCGUGCCUGCCUUUGGGGUUGGGGCAUAGACCGAUCGGCGAAUGAGAGGUUCGUGAAUAUGGAUGAAUGAGUCAUCUGGACCUUUGUUUAUGACGCGCUUUCACUCUAAAUCAAGGGGAAAUACGUGUCAAUCGUUACUCGGAUAAAGCCAGGCUUUUUGCCUCAGUCUCAUUCAUGGAUGAAACCCCUAGAACUGCAGGUCGAAAGAAAAGAGAUGAAAGAAAGGCCUGUGAAAGGAACUCCUCAACCGCGUCAAGGAGUCUGACCUUGAUUCAGAGUUUCCUUCUACAGUCACUGAAAAACCGUGGGAAUAAUCAACCUACUAAAUACUAAAAGAAGAAAAAAAGCUUUGUAGAGAGAGAGGAGGGAGUGCAAAGAAGACGUAGAAGUCUGUAGCUUUCAGUUCCAUGAACGAGUCCAUUUUUCUGAUUUUCAAAGACUAUGUAAAAGAUUAAUAUCUGGUUUUUAGGAUUGAGAUCAAUUAUGAAUUUCUGAUUUACUUGACUAUGAAAAAGAUUAAUAUCGGAGGCUGAGUCCAAAUCAAGGGAUUUUGCAAGAAAAUGUCCUGCCACCUAACUAAGAAGUGGCUGAAAAGAGCUUCAAAGUGGGGGGCGAAAGCAAAGAACCAUGCUCUCCCCCAAGAGGGGUGUCGGAAGAGGAGUUAGGCAGGCCAUCCCAGAUCUUGUGUCCCAUCCCUUGCCCCAGUUCUUGUUGUUGACGCCCUUGUCGCAGCUCUUUCUUUCCUCGCCCACAGAGCGGUGUAGAAGGAGACCUCAUCUCUUUCCUAACGCCUUGCUUCUUUCUUCAUUUAUUGACUCCCAACGUGGACAAGGAACUCCUCUGACCCCUCUUUACGGAUUCAAACCGUCCUCCAUUUUCAAAGGAAGAAAGUCAACUUGACCUACUACAGAGGGACGCCUCAAGCGCGAAGAUAGCAAAGUAGGUCCGUCUUACAAGUCUUCUUAGAAGAUCUUUCACGAGAAAGUAUCGGCCCUCGAGAGCAAAGGUUUCGGAAUCUCCAUCUCUGGCUUCUGCGGUUCAUAAGUGGAAAUCUUUCUAUUGAAAUAGAAAAUAGAUGAAAAUCAAAGCUUUCCCGCUUAUAAAGCAGAAGCUAGACAUGGGACAAGAACGAUCGUGAAACCCACGGAUUCAAUCUUCUUUGAACCUUAUUUAUUGUCUGAAUUUGGUCUUAGUGUGACGUACGCUCGACCAUAAUGAAGCUUGAUAGGUUAGCGCCCAGCCGAAGGGUACUCUGAUCGGAACUAAAGUAGCGAGAAGUCUGACUCAAGGGAACUGAAAAAGCUCAAGCAAGAUCCAGUCGUAUGAAAAGAAUGGUACGAUCUCCUUCAUUAUAGAUCGAUAGGGAGAUCGUCAGGCUGUCGGCGAGCCUUAUAACGAGAUUCACUGGGAUUCUUCCAGUACAAAGAGUGAAAUGCCAGGCGAUAGGCCAGAUCUCUCAUUCGCCGAAGCAUGGAUUUCUCAUCCUAGCACAGGAGAAAUUUUCCACAACGACUGCAGGAACAGAGCCCUCAACGGGGACGGAGACAGCAGGCUAAACUUCCCUUGAUGGCAAGGACAGAUCCCGCUCUUGGUCUAAGAAUGAAAUAGCAUAAACUUCUCUUCCCGCUCCGUGGGCCUUCCCUAAUAGUCAUUCUUUGAGGUCCGUCCUAUUAACCUGUCCUCCGGACUGGUCUCGCUCCUUCACACCUCUCUUAUUGAGUUAAUUGGGUAUUUCCUCUAUAGUCAAUUAGGAAUCGGAAAUAGUGAGAUUCUAGCUUUCCAGACUGAUUCAGAUUGGAGUGACUCUCCGGCUUGCUCUGAGGCUGCCGAUCUACUCAACUGUGAGAUUUUCAAUGGGAAAGCGGGCAUAACCUGGUCCUUCUCCCCUAACCUAUGAUCAUUGUUCUAGCUGGUUCUCGGAAAUCUGACUCUGGUUCUUCCCUUUGCCCAGAAACUCCACCAGGAAGAGAGAAAGUCAAGAUCUCAUUCCGAUUCCUCUCUGGCUGCCCCUCUUUUCUGGGCCAAGGAUUAGGAAGGGAGUUCUAGUUCUUCCUAUUAAUAGGACAAUCAGUUCCUUUCCCGAUUGACUUCCGUAACCCUACUUAUUUGUUCUAGCUUGAGGCGGCCGGCCAAGGAACCUAUUCUAAGCGAAAGAGUCUUAUCUUGAUUUAUUUCAUAAUGCUAAAUGCUCCGAAUCUAGUAAUAUGGAUAAAUAAGGGUCAGGACGUCUUGAUGAUUUUCAAAGAAAGACAAGAGAGAAAGAAGAAAGACAAGUCCUUCUACGCGGCAAGGAAUGAAGGAGUCCUUUUUAUGAUAGUCAAAAACUAUGUAAAAGAUGUGAAUGAGAGGAGUUAUUUAGUGGAAUAAGACUCGUCCGGAGUCCGGAGUCCUACGUGCCAAAGAAAGGUCCAGGGUCCUACGUCCGCAGGGCCAAAGAAAGGUCCAGGGUCCGGAGGAUUUAUCCGUAGGACUAUCCAUUAGAAGCAGUCCGCAGGAUUUAUCCGGAGGACCAUCAAAGAAAGGUCCAGGUGAUUUAUCCGUAGGACCAUCCAUAUGGAAGGAAGUAGUCCGGAGUCCGGAGGAUUCUUAUCCGUAGGACUAUCCAUAUGGAAGUAGGACCAUCCGUAAUUAACCGAAGUAGGACCAUCCGUAAUUAACAGAAGUAGUCCGGAGUCCGGAGGAUUUAUCCGUAGGACCAUCCAUAUGGAGGGAAGUAGGACUAUCCAUUAGAAGGGCUGACUUUGGGCCUCCGUAGCUUAAUAUGGGACUAUGAACCAUAUUUUAGAUUAGAACUCCUCUUCUCAAUAUUCUUUCUCCGCAAUAUUCUUUGCUUUUCUCACGCAAGUCAAAUUCUCUAAUGGAUAGGCCUCCGCUAGGCUGAAUUCAAUAUUCUCAAAAGUCUUCCAGGAUAUAAUAGCUUUUUUUUGGAAUGGAAUACUCCUUUUUAGUGGACGCUACUUGAUUUGAUUAUGGGGGGAUGAGACUGAUUUAUCCAUAUUCAGUAAAUAGGAGCACGUAGAAGGCGCAAAGAAUUUGCGAAGAAGGACUAUCCAUAUUAACCCAGAGAAGAAUAUUGAAUCUACCUUUUCAAAAAGCUCCGAACGUUACACUCGCCACUAAAAUCAAAAAAGAAGGACUUUCUCAUUUCCGACUACUGAUUUUGAACUCGAAAGAAAGAGAGUGGUGCGGCGGACGAAGUGAAGGUAGGAUGAAGAGGAGUAUGAGUUCUUUGUUUAGAACUGGUGCGCAGUUCCCACGGGAAGGCUAAGCCUCACUCACCCUUUUUACGAGAAAGAGGGAGAAAGAGAGAGAUACUGUAAGUUGACUCUUCAUUCUCAUUCUUUGAAUUGACUUUUCUUCUUAGCUUUCUUAUCUCUUAUUAUAUUAUUAAUGAAGUAACUAUCAAUCGCCGUCUUCUUGUAUUAUCUUCUUAUUUCUUGAGAGGUGCGAAGAAAUCUCAAGUGGUUCGUAAGAAAGAGCCCCAUACCAUAAAAAAGGGGGGAUAAUAGGUAUCAGCCUCAGAGGUGACCUGCGCGACCUCUCUCAUUAGCCUCUCUUUCCGCUGCAGUCCUUCUUCGUCUUCGUCUUGCAGAAUUGUCCCAGACCAGUGCUUUAUCUAGCUUUAGUUGCUGGAUUUCUUGCUUAGUUUCGGGAAUAUGAGCUCGAUCCAGAGAUCCUUUUUUGAUGAAAGAUCUAAAGCAUAUUGAAAUAGAAAGGAUUGAUCAAAGGCGCUUUAGGAAAGAGCUUACCGAUCAAUGGACGAGGCGCGACUUCUCUUUCUGAAACAUAAGCAGCCUCUGCGAGAACUAUGGCUACAGCAGCAAAAGAAAGGGAUGCAAGAAGAGGUGGUCGAGCCUGAACUUCCCCAGGAGGGAGGGGCAAGGGAAAGAACUCCUCGCGCUAGGUCGAUUUGCGUGCGUGGAUCAUGUGCCAAUGCCCCAAGGUCCAUCUUCUGCUUGUCUAGCCUCUUCAGACUAAGUACCUUUCAAUCCGGCCGGUUGAAGCACGUGGAAAGUGUGCCCGGGCACUGUCAAAUCGAGUCUUUUCGCAAGAUGGGGAUGGCUCCGUCCUCCGCUUUCUUCCUUUCAUCUUUUCAUCAGAAAAUAUCCUCUUAUGAUACUCAAACUACAAUAUCCCUGUCUUAUAGAGCCUUGUUCAUUGAGGUCCUCUAGAACCUACUCAAAAAAGAAGGAAGAAUUUCAUGCUUUCCAUGCCAUGUCCUUUAACUUCCUUGAACUGCAUUCCCAUUAUUUUCUCAUCUGCACCCUUUAGUCCUAUAAAAAGAACUAAGAAGAAAGCGCAACUUCGAUUUUGAUGCCUUUCAUCCGCUACUUUCAUCCUAUAUAUUCCCACGGGGCGGUAAGAAUAGGGCUUUCUUUCUUUAUAAUAGCUUUUUUUGGAAUUCAAUAUUUCAGACUCGUCCUUUUUUUUUCGCAAUAUUCUUUGUGGUCCGAAGCCUGAAUUAUCGAAUAUUGCGUGGAAAGAAUAUCCUUUUUCUAUUGAUGACUCGCGGGCGCAGUUAAGGAAAAAUAGCAUUUAAUAAGGGCUCAAAGUAAAGACCAAAUACAACCUCUGCGGUCAGUCCUUCGGACCAGGUGCGCGAGUAAAUCAAAGAAAAGAUGCGCAUAUUGCUAUUUCCCCCUCCGCGGUGCCAUAAGACAGGUCCGAAGUCCUCGCAAUAUUCUUUGCGCCUGUCUGUCCUGAGGACGGGGAAUCUUGAGAGUUGCGUGAGUUGCGUGAGAAAGAAGACUGAUGCUUGAAGGAAAAGCUUGAAGUACAGCAGCCCGGAGCUAAGAUAAAGCGAGACAUCCAGAGGGUUCUCAGACGCGAGACAGAGCUUCAGGUUCUCAUACGACCUUAAUAUGGAUAAAAAUCAGUCCCACUAUUUCAAAAGAAAGGUCAAGAUGACAUUCUUGAUUUUUGCUAGUCGCAAUAAGACAGGUCCUCCUUCGGUUAAUUACGGAUAGUCCUACUUCUGUUAAUUACGGAUGGUCCUACGGAUAAAUCACCUGGACCUUUCUUUGGCCCUGCGGACUCCGGACUCCGGACUACUUCCAUAUGGAUAGUCCUCCGGAUAAAUCCUGCGGACUGCUUCGGUUAAUUACGGAUGGUCCUACGGAUAAAUCCUCCGGACUACUUCCAUAUGGAUAGUCCUACUUCCCUCCAUAUGGAUGGUCCUACGGAUAAAUCCUCCGGACGUAGGAUAAAUCCUGCGGACUCCGGACUCCGGACCCUGGACCUUUCUUUGGCACUCCGGACCUGUCUUAUGGCACCGCUACGUGGGUAGAAAGCCGAGUCUAUCUGCACCCGCGCCUGAUUUUUCUUCUUCGCGCCUUCGGACAGGUCUCGUCUUUGUUCAUUGAUUCUUCCUACCAAGAACAUCGAUCAGUCCCUAGGGUUAUAUUUCUUACUUGAUGAUGGAAGGCUUGAAGCCUCAUUACCUGGAGUUGACUCCCUUGAAGCUACUAUAGAUGCUUCCGUUGAAUCUUCUGAACCUGGGGUUUAUGGUAUUUCCCUUAUCCUUUUACUCGUAAGCUUUCCUUUCGCCCUAGGCGAAGGCUACGUGGCUUUCUUUCUUUGUGUCUAGUAAGACUGAAUAUGGACCUAAUGGAUAGUCCCCUUAUAAAAAACGCCACUUUUCUAGGGGCUCAAAGAAUUAUGCGAAGGUUCAGCUUCAUUCCUAUGAACUUUUCAUUGAUUGCACUCCUUCUAUAUAUUAUAUUCUUUGCACCUCUCCAUUUCAUGCUCCUCAAAUUCUGAUCGCCAUUCUCUUCUUUCCGUCGAGCUAUUUCAUAAACUCCGGACCUCCGCGGUUCUCAGGGAAGAAAGCCUACCUUCCUCCCGUAGAUCAGUCUAUGAGCCUUAUGGUUGGGGCCUUUGUCCUUAUGGUGGGAGUUUAGUUUGUCCCUGCUAGUUCAUCCCUCUCCUUAAUAAAGAAAGAAGAGGAUAUUCACAACAAAUAAAGAAAAGAGAG
rnacentral:lncRNA from 1 species